CGCCCAUGGUGAUUGAUUGUUCCGUAAUCAUAAACUAAUGUCGUGAUCCUAUCAGUUGGGGGUUCACUCGUUUCUAUGUUACUCAAUGAUAUUAACAUUGAAUCGGAUGUUGUUUGCAGCUUUGUUGGGGAGAGCAUGCAUGAUGAUGGCGGUUUGGUCUUUGCGUACUACAAGGAGGGCGCGACCGACCCAACAUUUAUCUACUUUGGUCAUGGUUUGAAGGAGGUCAAGUGCUAAGCAAUUGGCCGAGAGAGUUCCAAGCAGAAUGCAUGUUGUAAUCCUAGUCUAUAUUAUUGCUUUCUUUACUUUUUAUGUUUAGAAUUGGAGGAUGAGGAGUCUAUUUUUGCUUUGUUUCGUUAGAAUAUUGCGCGUUUGUUGACUUGGAUUUAUGCCUAUCUUGGUUUUAAUGGCUUUUCAACUUGGAUUUCUAAUUUAUGUGGUUCUAAAUUUUGAUUGCGAAAUAACAUUGUGUUCUACAUUUUACCGCCUUCAAGUCGCUUUCGUAUGCCGUCAAACAGUUGAAGGUGUGAAUAGUUGGAACUGGUAAUAGUUCUAGUUCAUCUUUCAAUUUCACCAACAAAUCUAAAUAUGUCCCCUUUUCUUCACGCAUUUUCCGGAGUUCUGGAGAGAGCCGCAAUCAAUAGGAUUUUCUUAAUCUUCCCUUCCCGAAAGAAAGAAUGUGAGAUUUCUUUCUUUUUUCUGCAGGAACCACAAGAUUGGAUCUAGCUGUAAGAAGAAUGUUUGGCUAAUGAAUGAGUACUGAGCUUGUUUGUCCUUGUCAAACCUGGGAUUUUACUGUAAUUUGAAUGCCUCCGGUAGUUUGGAAUAUUCCGAGGAUACGGUCCUCGGUUACAAAUAUACCAUCUAACGGUCCUUGUUUGCGAAUAGGUUUUUUUAGCCAAAAUAGUCAGAUUUGCAUAACACAUUACUUUGGUCUUUGAGAUUGAAAAUCAAUAUAAAUGGUUCUGAGAUUGUCCAUCAUCUAUUAUUUUGGUCAUUUCGUUAAAAACUCCAUUAAGUGUCCCGGAGCUCUUGGCCGAAAAUUUGGGCAAUUUUCAAAGCUUCGUAACUCAAUAGUUUCUUAAUCAAAUUCGGCCCAUAAUAUAUCAAAAUGAAGAUAGGAAAGUGUAGAACAAGAUUAUACCUAUUUGGAAGCCCAAUGGUUGCCGGAGAUGGCAGGAAAAUAGCCUAAAAGGUGACUGGUGGUCUGUGGAAAAACUGGAAAACUCGUCGGAAAUUGAACAAACUUUAAAUGUUCAUAACUUCCUCAAUGCUCAACGAAAUUGAGUGAUUCAAAAAUGAAAAUCGAGUGAUUCAAAAACGAAAAUCAUACUUCUUGACGAGACGAAGAGAAUGGUACCUUUUUUGACGACUAAUUCGCUGUGGUUUGGCCGGAAAAUGGCUCGAAAGUGGCUAACUAGAGACCAAGACAGCCACUUUCGAGCCAUUUUCCAGCCAAAUCACAGAGAUUUAGCCUUUGAGAAAUGUAUCAUUCUCUUCGUCUCGUCAAGAAGUAUGAUUUUCGUUUUUGAAUCACUCGAUUUCAUUGAUUAUUGAAGAAGUUAUGAACGUUUAAAGUUUACCUAGUUUCUGGCGAGUUUCCCAGUUUUCCCGCGGACGAGUCACCUUUCAGACUAUUUUUUGGCCAUCUCCGGCAACUAUUGGGCUUCCAAAUAGGUAUAAUAUUGUUCUACACUUUCCUAUCUUCAUUUUGAUAUAUUAUGAGUCGAAUUUAGUUUAAAAACAAUUGAGUUACGAAUAUUUGAAAAUUGCCCAAACUUUCGGUCAAAAGUUUCGGAACAUUUAACGGAAUGACCAAAAUAAUGGAUGACAAUCUGUGGACAAUCUCAGGGACCAAAGUGAUGUGUUAUGCAAAUCUCAGGGACCAUUUUGGCUAAAAAGCCUUACAAAUAUAGCAUCUGACUUUGGACUGAGAAACUCUAGCAUUAUGGUUAAUAAUAUUCAUCUCCAUCAAGAAUUUAUAGAUUUUAUGUUCGACUCUCUUGGAAAAUUCCCACUAUCGUUGCCUAGUGAUCUUCUUAUUUACUUGUGAGUAAACAAAUCUUAAGUUUGAAUGUCAUAAAUGAUAAGUUUGUAAUCAAUUUAUUCUCUCCACCCUCUUAAUGUAAAUACUAAAUAUAUUUUGUAUUUAAUUUAAUUUAAUUGCGUAAUGUUACCUCAUAGUGAUGUGCUUAGAUUUAUUUGUUAAAUCCGUUUGAGAACCGUAGUAGCAUGAAAUUAUGAAAAAUAUGUCAUGUUUUGGAUCACAGAAGUUGAUAUAGAUUGGGAAAGAAAAUCGCAUAUACAAAAUUCAAUAGUAGCCAAAUAGUUUAGUGCUUGACAAGUCUCUUCACCAUCAUCGAAGAGCAAUUUGCAUGGUGAGCACAAUAGUUGCUUACAUUUCUCAUAAUUAUCCUCCAAAUACAUAUUUGAAUUUUGUCACAUAUUAAUUAACAUAUUUUUUAUUCGAGAUUAUAGGAAUGCGAAGAUCAAUCGCACACAAGAACGUGAGUUUAUUACGACCAUUUUAGUUUUGUGGACUCUACAAAACAUGAAUGACUAAAUUAGCUCAUUGACAAGUGUAUACGAUUGUUCAUAACACGUGGAAUAGCUGGCUAACACGUGGAGUGGUUUCAAUAUGUCGGAUGGUGAUUGGUUGGUUGAUGUUUGGAUUUGUAGGCUUGGUGUGGUUUUAGACAUGUUUGAACAUUUUAAAGUUGCAUUGAUGAUGAGUCGGCCAAGGAUAAUAUGACGGUCGUGAUUCAAUUUUUGAUGCACUUUAGAAAAUACAUUGAAUUUUUAUUUAAAAAAUUACGCAUGCAUGUGAGCGUUACGGUAGUAUAGUGCGUUUCACGCAAUUGUUAUCAAAGUCAUGAUAUUAAAUGCGGGAAGAUAUUAUUCGCUUAACCGUUGACGUCUGUCUGUCAAUAUGUGAACAUUGUGUUGGCUUUAUUUGCAUCGUCGUGAAAUUUAUGUGACAAUUAAAGUUGUUGAUGCACAAAACAGGAGGUCUUGGAACAACGUAAAUUCGACCGUGAAUCUGCAUGAAAUGUAAAUAACACAGGAUGUAUUGUGGUUCACCCCAAGGUUUGGGCUACGUCCACACUGAUUAUAUAUUUAUUUGAGGGGUGAGGGAGAGAACCUCUGAAUAUGAGAGGGGAUGUGAGAGGGGUGAAAAGGCUUCAGAAAUGGUCUCCCCUAAUUGUGAGGGUGAGGGGUCCUUUUAUAGAAUAAGGACUCCUCACUCAUCACAUAUUUGCCCUUUCCUUUAUCACAUAAUUACAUUUAAGUCCCCCGAGUAUUUGUACGAGAUCUAAAUACGAGGCCUUAAAUAUGGUAUAAACAGUAAUCCCCCAAGUCUUCAGUCAAGAGAGUCUUUUGGUUUGAGACUUGAAAUUCAGUCCAUGUGUGGGCCGAAGUAACUAGAUGUUAUCUUGAACUGAUGCUCGAUAUGAGGCGGUACUCAAUCUGAAAUGAUGCUCAACUAAUCUGAAAUGAUGCUCAACUAGAAGUAGUACAUGCUGCGAGGCUGCUCGACUCGUGGCUUAUGUUGCUUUGGUUGGCUUGGCUUGUGGCGUUGAAGGUGAUGGAGUCCCUUUUAUAGAAUAUGGGCUCGCUCCUCAAUACAUAAGUGAUGGGUUAGGAGUGAUGCUCGCGGCGAGGCGGUUGCUCAGCUGGCGGCGUUGCUUUCUAACGAAGGUGAGGGAGUCCCUUUUAUAGAAUAAGGGCUCGCUCCUCAAUACAUAAGUGAUGGGCUAGGAGUGAUGCUUGCGGCGAUGCGGUUGCUCAGCUGGCGGCGUUGCUCUCUAAUGAAGGUGAGGGAGUCCCUUUUAUAAAAUAAGGGUUUGCUCCUCAGUACAUGAAUAAUGGGUGCUCUCUAAUGAAAGUGAGAGAGUCUCUUUUAUAGAAUAAGGGCUCACUCCUCAGUACAUGAAUAAUGGCCUAAGUCCCCUAAGUAAUUUUCAUGAGGCCCAAUAUAUGGUACAUGAUGUAGUCCCCCAAGUCUUCAGUCAAUAGAGUCUGUUGGCUGGAGACUUCAAAUUGAAUCUAUGUAUGGGCUGAAAUGGCGGUUGUUCGGAAGCGGUAUUUGUAUACCCUGUACUGAAGUUUUGUAGGUGAAGCUUUGCAAGUGAAGCUUUGAAGCUAGAGCUCUGUGAAUGAAGCUUUCGAAGCUGGAGCUUUUGAAGCUAGAGCUCUGUAAAUGAAGCUUUUGAAGCUAGAGCUCUGUAAAUGAAGCUUUUGAAGUUAGAUUGACAUGAGUAAUGCUCAUGAAUGUUUAUGUUGAUUGACAUGAGUGAUGCUCAUAGAUGUUGUCAUGAGUGAUGCUCAUGAAUGUUAACAUGAGUGAUGCUCAUGAAUGUUGACACGAAUGAUGGUUAUGAAUGUUUAUGUAUGAUUGUCAUGCGUGAUGCUCAUGAAUGUUUAUGUAUGAAUGACAUGAGUAAUGCUCAUGUAUAAUUUGGAGUAUUGGGCGUACUUUUGAUCACCUGGUUGGUGGCAUGAAGAAGAGUACAGGUUGUACAUUUCAUCACUUGGUUGGUGGUAAUAGCGGCAGGUUGCAGAAUAAUUUUGAAGUACUGGGCAUACUUCAGAUCACCUGGUUGGCGAUAAUAGCGGCAUGUUGCCGAAUAAUUGUGAAGUACUGGGCGUACUUUUGGUCACCUGGUUGGUGAUAAUAGAGGGUCUGGCUCUUUUUGGCAUAUGAGCCUUCGCCCUCCACACGACAUUGCAGCCUAUUAUUUUGGGCUUACCGUGUUUUUUUUAAUACCCUAUGAUGGGGUUUAUACAGAUAUCUCUAAAACAUAAGAAAAAUAAAUUACAUCAUUAAAAAAUAAUGGUUUCGACAGUUGCAGAUCGUUGGUGCGUACUGCGCCUACUGCGUACUGGGUUGCUUCUGUUGGUAGCGUUCGUUGGCUUGGAUGGUUUUUGAGAGACUGGGAGUAACAGCUGCUGUCAGAUCUGAAUUCGAAUGACCUGGCUUGUUGGCCCAUCAUCACCAUGGUUAUGGACUGCACCACCCCACUACGCAUCACAUUAAUAUUAUAUGUUUUUGCUUUUGUUUCCUUUUCCACCGCACAUCUCUCUUUUACUGCAUUUAUUAUUCUGUUGCUGAGGUCCAGGUGCAUUAGCCUUUGUAGAUGGCAGACAAAAGUAAAGUGAAGUUCUCUUUACUUUGCUUUACUUUGCAGAUUGCAGAUGACACUCAAGUUCUCUGUUUUUACUUUGUAGAUUGCAGAUGGCACUCUGGUUCCCUGCUUUUACUUUGUAGAUUGCAGAUGGCAUGUGAGGAAAGCCUCCCUUUUCUUUUCCUAGCGUUCCGUGGUCCACGAGUCCACAACAUGUGAUCUAUACGAAAAACACUUGAACAACAUCAGAGCUCGGCGAUAGGAGUCUCAAAGAUGGCUUGCUCAGCUUUCUGCACCUCCUUCUCGAUCUUCCUUCCCUUAUUGGAUUUGUAGUACACACUCAUGAAUGUUCCCAAAGCUUGAGUCCUCUCAGCCUGUUCUUUCAAAAGCUGCUCGUUACCUACCAAGAAGAACAAAAAUGCACCAACCCCGUAACCAGUUGCGAUGUUUGACUCCUAGACACAAUAGUUAUAAUUUAACCCAGUGUCUUGAACGACAUUCGCAGAGCUUCUCUUCUGCUCAGUCACUCUCCAGACAUCUCAUCUCUCUCUAUCUCUCUCACUGAGUUGCCACUAGCUACACCAAAUCGCAGCCAAACGACGACACCCACGAAUUCGAAUGAGAAAAGUCAAGCAAAAAAGAUCGAGAAUUUCCUUUCACUGUUAGGAAACGAUUCAAGAAUUCAAUUCUCCAGCGUUGUAGUGCAAAAGCUCGUGGCUAGAUUUUCCCGAGAAAAAAAGAGGGAAAGAUUUUGCCGAGAAAAUUUAGGCAGUGUGCUGUCGAUUGAGCAGGAACGCGGAGACCCCUACCGAUAGAUGGUUGUUCAGAUGGAACAACUUCUUAGAACUAGCCGUGAAUGCCAGCGCGUGCCAAUCUCGAGUUCCCUAUCCAUUUCUCUAGUGCGAGCAGCAGCUGAGCAAACAAUCGUGUCGAAGCGGCAGGAGAUGGCGUACUGACGGUCGAGGUGUUCAAAAGGGAAACUGCUCGAAUCCGUCUUUGGCGUUCCGCCACGCGUCCUUCCCGAAGCUUCCGAUGUCGCUACGCUGGAACGCCUGGAUGUUCGGCACCUGGCAGUGGCGGUGAUGGUAAUAGCCUUCUGAGGAUUGAGAUCAUGGGUCGCGCUUCUUGCGAUUGAGAUUGUAGCGGUGCCAUUCUGACUUGUAAUGGAGCUUCUGCUCUGAGUCGUCCAGAAACUCCUUGUUGCAAGAGUUGCAUGUUAGCCCUCACAUUUUCUCUCUCUCUAGCUUUCUCUGAGUCUGUGCUACUUUAAUCUAUUGUUCACCGACUUGUAAAACUUUGUUAAUGAAAGCAAAAGAUUUUCUUAUAUAACACUCUGCAGAGGGCACAGAGAGAUAGAGAUAUGAGUGAUUGUGUUUCCAUUGCUGCCGCCGUGAUCAGGAGCUGAAGCGGGAAACAUGGGUUUUGCAGUGAUUGUGCAGAUUCACGGUGGAGGUGAAAAAAUGAAAAAAAAAUCGACACAACUUUUCGUAUCGUUUCCCACAGACGGCGCCAAAUGUUGAUGCACAAAACCGAAGGUCUUAGUACAACGUAAAUCCGACCGUGAAUCUGCAUGAAAUGUAAAUAACACAAGAUGUAUCGUGGUUCACCCCAAGGUUUGGGCUACGUCCACACUGAUUAUGUAUUUAUCUGAAUGAGAGAGAGCUCUAAGAGUGAGAGCUUUGAGAGAGGAUGAGAGGGCCUAGGAAUUGGCCUCUUCUAAUUGUGAGGGUAAGGGGUCCUUUUAUAGAAUAAAGACUUCUCACUUAUUACAUAUUUGACCUUCCUUUAUCACAUAAUUACAUUUAAGUCUCCCGAGUAUUUGUACGAGAUCUAAAUACGAGGCCCUAAAUAUGGUAUAAACAGUAGUCUCCCAAGUCUUCAGUCAAAAGAGUAUUUUAGCUGGAGACUUGAAAUUCAGUCCAUGUGUGGGCCAAAGUAACUAGAUGUUGUCUUGAACUGAUGCUCGAUAUGAGGCGAUGCUCAAUUUGAAAUGAUGCUCAACUAGAAGUAGCACAUGCUGCGAGGCUGCGAGGCUCGUGGCUUAUGUUGCCUUGGUUGGCUCGGCUUGUGACGUUGAAGGUAAGGGAAUCCCUUUUAUAAAAUAAGGGCUCGCUCCUUAAUACAUGAACGAUGGGUUAGAGUUGAUACUCUCUAAUGAUGGUGAGGGAGUCCCUUUUAUAGAAUAAGGGCUCACUCCUCAAUACAUAAAUAUGGGCUAGAGUUGAUGCUCUCUAAUAGUGGUGAGGGAGUCCCUUUAUAGAAUAAGGGCUCGCUCCUCAAUACAUAAAUAUGAGCUAGAGUUGAUGCUCUCUAAUGGUGGUGAGGGAGUCCCUUUUAUAGAAUAAUGGAUCGCUCCUCAAUACAUGAAUGAUGGGCUAGAGUCCCCCAAGUAUUUUUCAUGAGGCCCAGUGGAGGCCCAAUAUAUGGUAUAUAAUGUAGUCUCCCAAGUUUUCGGUCAAUAGAGUGUUGGCUGGAAACUUCAAAUUGAAUCCAUGUAUGGGCCGAAAUGGCGGUUGUUCGGAGGUGGUAUUUGUAUACCCUGCACUGAAGCUUUGUAGGUAAAGCUUUGCAAGUGAAGCUUUGAAGCUAGAGCUCUGUAAAUGAAGCUUUUGAAGCUAGAGCUUUGUAAAUGAAGCUUUUGAAGCUAGAGCUCUCUAAAUAAAGCUUUUGAAGCUAGAACUUUUGUAAAUGAAGAUUUUGAAGCUGAUUGACAUGAGUGAUGCUCAUGGAUGUUGACAUGAGUGAUGCUCAUGAAUGUUGACAUGAGUGAUGCUCAUGAAUGUUUAUGUAUAAAUGACAUGAGUAAUGCUCAUGUAUAAUUUGGAGUACUGGGCGUACUUUUGAUCACCUGGUUGGUGGCAUGAAGGAGAGUACGGGUUGUACAUUUCAUCACCUGGUUGGUGGCAUGAAUGGCUAGUUGCCAAAUGAUAUUAGAGUACGGGUUGUAUAUUUCAUCACCUGGUUAGUGGUAAUAGCGGCGGGUUGCUGAAUAAUUUUGGAGUACUGAGCGUACUUUUGAUCACCUAGUUGGUGGUAAUAGCGGCGGGUUGCCGAAUAAUUUUGGAGUACUGGGCGUACUUUUGAUCACCUGGUUGGUGGUAAUAGCGGCGGGUUGCCGAAUAAUUUUGGAGUACUGGGUGUACUUUUAAUCACCUGGUUGGCGAUAAUAGCGGCGGAGUGCCGAAUAAUUUUUUGUAGUACUUAGCGUACGUUUGGUCACCUGGUUGGUGAUAUUUUGGGCUUAUAGGCCUUCGCCCUCCACACAACAUUCCAGCCAAUUUAUUUUGGGCUUGCCGUUUUUUUUUACCCUCUGAUGGGGUUUAUACAGAUGUCUCCGAAAAAUAAGAAAAAUAAAUUACAUCAUUCAAAACAAAGGUUUUGACAGUUGCAGAUCGUUGGUGCGUACUGCACCUACUGCGUACUGGGUUAUUGCAGAUCUUUUUCCAUGUGCAUAUUCCAGUGGCUUCUUCAGAAAAGUGGGAACAUGCAUGAUGAAAGUUUUAUUUUUCAAAAGUUGAUGGCAUCUUCUGAUGGCUUGCCUUUACCGCACCCAUUUUUUCCGGGAAGUUCAUCCAUAAACCUGUGCAGCCUAGUCAUGAUAUCUCUUUAUCCUCCUCAUUUUUCUUUUUCUAUUCUUUUCCUCCCCUUUUCUUUUUCUAACAUUAUGAUUGAUUCCAACCCAUAGGCUUGCCAGGCGACAGUGAGCACAAUCAUAACCGAAAACAGCCACUGAAUGACACUAUUCUGUCUCUAUACCUUUUUCUUUUCAUUUCUUCCCUUUUCCCUUUUCUGAAAUAUUCUCUCAACAACUAGUACAUCAUACAUUUAGCCCAUCUUCCUUUUUCUUUUUCUAACAUCAUGAUUGAUUCCAAACUUUCAAUUCUUUUCCAAUGGAUUGUUGUCGGAGACGACACAUUUCCAAGCAAUUUCUCAUCGCCCUCACAGCAAUGGAUGAACCUCUACUUUCAUCAGGGAGAAGCAGCAAAUUGGGAGAGAAGGGGAGUGAGAAAUGGAGCUCGUACGAGUACGUGGGAAGAGCUGGGUCGGUGAUUCCGAUAGCGGCGCUAGUUGGGACUGAUGAUUCUGAUCGAGAGGCGGCUGCUGAUUGCUACCCGUCUUCUAUCCAUGUUGGUCUGGUUAGUGGUAUGAACACUGCGAGUUUCCGCCUUCAUCAAUACGUCCUUCAGAUUGGGGGGGCGAGGUGAUGCGAGCCUCUAUCAACGAACGCGACCCAUGAUUCACAAAAGUUGAAAUGGGGUCUCGACCCAUGAGCAGGUAAUAAGGUCUUAACCCAGAAGCUGAAAUGGGGUCUCGACCCAGGAGCAACAAUCAGAAAUAUGGUCAACCCCAAUUAUCUUACAUAUGGUCCAAAAACGAUCCUCCCCUGAAGGAAAAAAAUAUAUAUAUUGCUGCCCUUCCAAUUCUGGUGUGCUCGAUCUCCCACUGCUCCGGUUCAAACCACUGGGUUCAUCAUCCUUGACUUCCCACUGGGUGUAAUCAGGGGUUAGGUGCAAGGACAACAGCUGGAUGCGACGGCUGACGGCUUGGGAUUCGUCCUCCACCGUUGGAUCUGGGCUUUGCCUCUUCUUUUGAUUGAUCUCGUAGACACAGAUUAGGAAGAGGUUAGGUGGUUUCAUGGGGAAGAAAGAUUUGAACAAUUGGAAUUGGGAUGAUCUUCUGGUUAGACUGUUUUUUGUACGGACGCGACCCAUGAUGGUGGAUUUGCGCGGAAGAGAUGGCAGGCGACGGCGUUGGUAUAUGCGUCUAUGCAUGAUGAGAGGGUUCAUCAUCCUUGAUUGGGAAUGGUGUGAUGACGAGCUUGUUGUCAGUUUUGGACCCCGAAUGAAAGUCGGAGCUUCAAGACGAAAUCUGCGUCUUUAUCCACUAAAACACUUGUACCCAUCUGGCGACGCUGUCUGUGCCACCUCGUCGUUGAGUGGAAGCGGGAAGGUAUGCACUUGUUGUGCUCUUCACCGGGAAGAGGUCGUUUUGGGCUCUGAUUCGAGGGCCGUAAGCGCGCUGCACUUUGAACGGCGAGACGGAGAAGACGACGACGACGGCCGUACUAGAACGGCAGACGGGCGUGUCGAUGAUUGAGCAACUGGUUCCGGAGAUUACAACGCAUGCCCUUAGCUAUCUGGACUACCCGAGCCUAUAUAAGCUUUCGAUGACCAAUUCGCUUACGUGGAAGGUCGCCAAUGACGAUAAUGCUUGGAUGGCACUUUACCAUAAAGUAUGUGAUUACUGAAUUUGAAUUGCAUUUGAAGUAUUUGAAUUUGGGUGUUUGUUGGAUUUUGAUUUUUGGUUUUUGCAGAUUCACGGUGGAGGUGAAAAAAUGAAAGGAAACUGACACAACUUUUCGUAUCGUUUCCCACAGAUGGCGCCAAAUGUUGAUGCACAAAACCAGAGGUCUUGGAACAACGUAAAUCCGACCGUGAAUCUGCAUGAAAUGUAAAUAACACAAGAUGUAUCGUGGUUCAUCCCAAGGUUUGGGCUACGUCCACAGUGAUUAUGUAUUUAUUUGAGGGGUGAGGGAGAGAACCUCUGAAUAUGAAAGGGGAUGUGAGAGAGGUGAGAAGGCUUCAGAAAUGGUCUCCCCUAAUUGUGAGGGUGAGGGGUCCUUUUAUAGAAUAAGGACUCCUCACUCAUUACAUAUUUGCCCCUUGCUUAAUCACAUAAUUACAUUUAAGUCCCCCGAGUAUUUGUACGAGAUCUAAAUACGAGACCCUAAAUAUGGUAUAAACAAAAGUCGUAUAAUGGAAUUUCCUUGUUUGUCUUGCGCAAUUGAAAAAGGAUAAGGAAUUUGGUUGUAAAAAAUUUAAAAUUAUAAUUGCGGUCAAUUUUCGUUGUUGAUAUUCAAUUUCAACAAAGGCGCGACUGAAUGACUUGAAUAACCUCAAAAGAAAAAAAAGGAAGAACAUGUAACAAUUUUGACACAACCUAACCCAAAUUACACGCAUACAUUUGCGUGAAAAGUUAAGCAAAUCUCAACACUUGAGCGACUGAGUACUUAAGGCUGAAUUAACUCUAACAAGGAAGUAAAUAAGGAUAAAAGAAAAAUAUAAGGACAAACAUGAUAUAUUUAGGAAAUGGUUGAGAACCCCUGUAUGUAGAUAAAUGUGCAAACUAUUCCAAAAAAAAAAGAAAGAUUUUUGUUCAAAUUAGUAGAUAAUGCUCCUUAACAAAAAAAAAAAGUAGAUAAUGUCCUAAUUAAAUUUGAAUUAAUUGGGCCCGGUUUUAUUACAAUUCAACAGGCCUUUUUAGGCCCAAAUGAAGAGUAGAAACUCCUAACAAAACUACAACUAGUCCGACCCAACCAUCCAAAAAACCUCGUUCUACUCGGACUUGGAAACGAAUAUCACCAAUGGCUUAGAAGAAAUUUUACAGAAACGCGAGUACAUUCCCGUAAUUUCCCAGUUGCCCACCAUCCUGCCAUCUCCGUGUUCUUCCCAAACCCUCGCCUCACCUAUAUAUAUCGGUUACCAGGGAAUUCUCAAACCCUCACUCCUUUGCUGCGUCGCUCUCUGCGCUCCUCCCAAAUCCUAAUCUUUGUUGUUGGAGCGAUCCGAGCCGCAAUUAUGUUGGUUUACCAAGACCUCCUCACCGGUAAAAGUUUUUUCCCUAAUCUUGUCCCGCUUAUGUUCAAAUUAGGGUUUCGAUUCGUUAGUUCUAAUCUAUGUGAAAAAAAAAAUCGAAUUGGAUCUCGGUUUAAUCUCCAAAUUUUAGGUUAUGGUACGGAUCGGGCGCCAAAUUGUUGCUUUCCCGCCGUGUAAAUUGUUUUGCAGAUCCUUCGAUUUAUUGCUGCGCUAAUUGUUUUGAUUUAUUUAGUGGUGAUUGUGUGCAUGUAAUUUGUUUGUGGGUGCUUUUGCAUGUUGUUUAUAAUUUAUGAAGCCACUGGAUUUCAUCUGAAUGAUUACAAAAAAUCUAAUUUAUAUUGUGAUUUAUGGUUAUCGAACUCUUUCUGUAUUUAUUUUAUGUAAUUUGGUACUGGGUACGCAUAUUAAUUAUAUUGUGCGAAGCUUUGGAAUUUUAUGUUAGACUUGCUAAUUUAUAAUUUUGAUAUGUUGUUGGAAUGGUCGUGUAAUUAGAAAAUAUUGGGAUUGGAUAUAUCUUUGGAUAUGGUGGAUAUUGUGACGCAAUUUUUAAACUUAUUGUGUAAACUACUUGAACAGUUGUACUUUGUAAAGUUUAUAGAUUUGUUUAUGAUGUCUGCUGGAUCUUUUUUUUCUUUUUUUGUUAUAUGAUGUUCUUUUUUUCUUUAACUAAUAUAUUUAGUUGAAGUUCUUUUAUCAAGUUGUUGACCAAAUUCAUGCUUCUAUUAUAGGCGAUGAGCUUCUCUCGGACUCGUUUCCAUACAGGGAAAUCCACAAUGGAGUGCUCUGGGAGGUUGAUGGCAAGGUGAGUUGGUUGAUUCUUUGGUUUUAUUUAUUUUCGUUCCCCUCUUGUUGAACUGUCUUUGUAAUUUUAUUAUUAGUUUAACCACUCAUUAGAAAUAUUUAGCUGUGUUUGCAAUGUAAUUUGAAGGUUGAAUGUAUAAGUUUAAGCUUUUUCCUGAUGGGUGUAGUCAAGGUGGUUGUUAUUGAACUUUGUGGUUAUAGGUUUAUUCUGAUAUGGAUCACCUGUAUAAGGUUAAUAUGUUGAUUGUUAUGAAUUGCGUAGUUGAUUUACUGUAAGUUGUUUGAAUGAUUUUUGGUUUGCAGUGGGUUGUUCAAGGAGCUGUUGAUGUAGACAUUGGUGCAAAUCCAUCUGCUGAAGGUGGAGGUGAGGAUGAGGGUGUUGAUGAUCAAGCCGUCAAGGUUGUUGACAUUGUUGACACAUUUAGACUUCAGGUAUGUGGUGCUUACUGUACUGUUGCUCUCCAAGGUUCUUUGUGAGUAGAAAUUGAUUGUUAUUGUCUGAUGCUUGCAGGAGCAACCUCCAUACGACAAAAAGCAGUUUGUCACAUGGGUGAAGAGGUAUAUCAAACUGUUGACACCCAAGUUGGAGGGGGAGGGCCAAGAGGUGUUCAAGAAGAACAUUGAGGCAGCAACCAAGUUUCUGCUUGGGAAGCUCAGCGACCUCCAAUUGUAAGUUUUGUUGAUACUGCGCCCAUGGUGAUUGAUUGUUCCGUAAUCAUAAACUAAUGUCAUGAUCCUAUCAGUUGGGGUUCACUCGUUUCUAUGUUACUCAAAUGAUAUUAACAUUGAAUCGGAUGUUGUUUGCAGCUUUGUUGGGGAGCAUGCAUGAUGAUGGCGGUUUGGUCUUUGCGUACUACAAGGAGGGCGCGACCGACCCAACAUUUAUCUACUUUGGUCAUGGGUUGAAGGAGGUCAAGUGCUAAGCAAUUGGCCGAGAGAGCUCCAAGCAGAAUGCAUGUUGUAAUCCUAGUCUAUAUUAUUGCUUUCUUUACUUUUUAUGUUUAAAAUUGGGGGAUGAGGAGUCUAUUUUUGCUUUGUUUCGUUAGAAUAUUGGCUUUAUGCCUAUCUUGGUUUUAAUGGCUUUUCAACUUGGAUUUCUAAUUUAUGUGGUUCUAAAUUUUGAUUGCGAAAUAACAUUGUGUUCUACAUUUUACCACCUGCAAGUCACUUGCUUUCGUACGCCGUCAAACGGUUGAAGGUGUGAAUUGUUGGAACUGGUAAUAGUUCUAGUUCAUCUUUCAAUUUCACCAUCAAAUCUUUAUAUGUCCCCUUUUCUUCACGCAUUUUCCGGAGGUCUGGAGAGAGCCGCAAUCAUUAGGAUUUUUCUAAUCUUCUUGUGAAAUUUCAUUUUUCCGCGGGAACCACAAGAUUCGAUUUAGCUGUAAGAAGAAUGCUCGGCGAAUGGAUGAGUACUGAGUUUCUUUGUCCUUGUCAAACCUGGGAUUUUACUGUAAUUUGAAUGCCUCCGGUAGUUUGGAAUAUUCCGAGGAUAAUCGGUCCUUGUUUACAAAUAGACCAUCUGACUUUGGACUGAGAAACUUUAGCAUUAUGGUUAAUAAUAUGAAGUUUUAACAAAACACUUCCGUAUUGUUCGCUUUUAACGAAAAAUCACAUUUUUACCUUUUCCUAAUACUAUUCACUACACUUUUAUUUGUCAUUUUUCCAUUAAAACUGAAGUUUUUUUUAGACUUUUCGUUAGUUUUCCUUUAAUAAUAAUAUUCAUCUCCAUUAAGAAUGAACAUGAAUCCUUUCCGGACCCCAAUAUCCUAAACCUAAGAAUCAAAUCAUCCGGGUUGUUGAAAUUUGAUUCAACGGCUACAAACAGGGGAUUCCUCUAAAGUUAUAAUAAUUGUAGCCAUUAGAUCAAAUUUUAACGGUCUGGAUUAAAUGAUCCCUAGGCUUAGGAUAUUGAGAUCCAGUGAGGAUCCGGGUUCAUUAGGAAUUUAUAGAUUUUAUGUUCGACUCUCAUGGAAAAUUCCCACUAUCGUUACCUAGUGAUAUUCUUAUUUACUAUUGAGUAAAAAAAUCUUAAGUUUGAAUGUCGUAAAUGACAAGUUCGUAAUCAAUUUAUUCUCUCCACCUCUUAGUGUAAAUACUAAAUAUAUUUUUGUAUUUUUGCAUUUAUUUGUUUUGCUUAAUGUUGCCUCAGAGGGAUGUGCUUAGAUCUAUUUGUUAAAACUUAAAUCCGUUUGAGAACCGUAGUAGCAUGAAAUUAUGAACAAGGUGCCAUGUUUUAGUCGGUCAAUUUUCGAUGGUUGGAUCACAGAAGUUGAUAUAGAUUGGGAAAGAAAAUCGUAUAUACAAAAUUCAAUAGUAGCCAAAUAGUAUAGUGCUUGACAGGUCUCUCUCUUCACCAUCAUCAGGGAAACAGUUUGCAUGGUGAGUACAAUAGUUGCUUAUACUUUUCAAAACCGUCCUGCAAAUACAUAUUUAAAUUGUGUCACAUAUUAACUAACACAUUUUUUAUACGAGAUUCGAGGAGUGUUAAGAUCAGUCACGCACACGAAGGUGAGUUGAUUACGACCAUUUUAGUUUUGUGGACUCUACAAAACAUGAAUGACUAUAUUAGCUCAUUGACACGUGUAUAAUUGAUCAUAACAUUUCCUAGAACCUGCAUUAAUUAGAUUCAAUUUUGCUAAUUAAUUAUAUCCUCGCUAAUUAGUUUUGAAUAACAAACAACAAGAAGAAGCUUAACUAAUUGAUGUAGGUUUAGGAGGUGGUGUUUGAGGUUAAUUUAGUUGGAGUGCUUGGGGUGGUAACGGUUGGAGAGGAUAGUAGCGUGCUAGUGCUUAAUGCCGGUCGUAUAUAUGCAAUGGAUGCAGUCGAGUCAAGUGGUAAUAUUAUUCGGAGUAAGAUUCAUUCCCUUCUUUUUUUACUUCCUCUUCCUUCUUCUCCUAUUUGAACGGUCACGGUUAAGCCACGUUAACAUCUUAUAUUAAUUUUUUAUAAAAAGAGAAAGACAAAAUAGAGAAUGUGAAAGGAGGGGAUAGAAAGAGGAGGGGAGAGAAUCAUAGUCCAUAUUAUUCAUCCUACAUUUUUGGCAGCUGCUUGGGUUUUAAAAUUAAAAGAUGACGCCUAGACCUGCUUUGUCACCCCUAGCCCAUCUAGGCGCGUAGGAGCUAGGGUCAAACCCGCUGCCUGACUAGCACCUAGUGUCUUUUAGAACUUUGAACGUUGACUAGCUUUGUCCAACUCCAUUUACAUGCACAUCAACUAAACUUAUCCAAAAACUCAAAUGAAAGUUUUAUAGCUCAAGCUGUUAAAAAUAUUUAUCUACGUAGUUAAAGGUCUUAAGCUCAACUUGCUCCUCCCUAUCACCGCUUACACAAAAAGAAAUCAAAUAAAAAUAACAAGAAAAUGUAUUUUUCUGCUCAGCUUUCUGUAGGUAGCAACUUGAGACUUCAAAUCAAAAGUGUUAGCUGAUGUCGAUUUAUAAACUUAUAGAACACACUCACUCAUUUAGGAUAUCUUUCAACCACAUUUUAUAUGUGGGAUUCAGCUUUCAAGGUUACAAAAUAUAGAUUGUUUGAGAACAUCCGUUCGGAUACUGAAUUAGAUGCUCAAUAGGUACAUGCAGUGGCAGAUUUGAGGUAUCGUUUGGUAUGCAGACGGGACGGGAUAGGACGGGACGGAACGGAGAGAGAGCAAAAAUGCCCUUAGAUGGAAACAAGGAGGAAGAAGAAGGAGACGGAGAGGUUAUAAUUUUGUGUUCCACGAAUGUGGAACGAAUCGUUCCAGGGGGUGAGGCGGAACGAAAAUUCACCCAAAAUUCGUCCAGUGAAACAGUGCAUUCCACUCGUUUAGGCGCACCAAACGUGGGACGGAACGCCUCAUCCCACUCUGUUCCGUCCCGUCCCACGUACCAAACGGUAUUCCAAUCUUAAGGGAUCACAGUGUUAGAGGUUCAAGUUUUUAGAUAGAAAAAGUGUGAAGCGUGCAAAAAAAAAGAAAAAAAAAUCAGUUUAUUCAAUGAGGAAUUUCUUCGAACACUUGAUGAGCUUGUUGUUGUUAGCCGAACCAAAAACAAUCUUAUGAGUGUUCUUGAGAGAAUUUGAAGAGUGUUGUUGACGCAACAUGCGGGAGACAUUUCGUCAAACAUUUGGUUUGCACAAAAAAGACUCGGUACCAUACAUUCGGAAGAUCCUUAGAAGACCUUCAUAUGUAUAUUUCUCAGACUCCGACUAGUCUUAAGACGACUUAGGUCCCAAUAUACAUCUGUCACUGGAUACGUGAGGCCAUGUUCAUGUUUGGUAAAACUAGUUGUGGGAUUUAUGAAACCUGCUACAUAUCAGAGCCACGAAGGAGGAAGCUCAAACCCUUGGACACCCUAGAUUUGGUUUGGGGAAAAAUGAGCUUGGGAGCGAUAAAUUGUUGUAUUUUCGUGUUUGGGAAAUUAUUUUUUUUAUGCACGAGAAAAUAGAGAGAAAGUGAAUUUCUCCAUCAACUUGAUUCUUAUUUUGAAAAACUAAAACAAACAUUAAAAAAGAAGUGACAUUUGCUGAUGAUGGCUUGCUUUUUAUUUACAGCACUUAAUUCACCUGUAAUGUAGUUGAAUUAUUUAUUUAUAAUAUAUAUAUAUAUAUAUAUAUAUAUAUCACCUUCCUUUGAGGGGUCUACAGGAGCCAAUAUUAUGAAAUUUGAUUACCAAAAUAAAGGACGGUGGGGGAGCUAUUAGCCUAAUUUGAUGUGGAAAUUAAUUAAUGUUUAAUUAAACUUUAAUUGAAAUGAAAAGACUCCAUCUUAUCUCAACCUAAUCACAUGCUUUAAGUUAAAGCGAUCGUUGUUCCCCAAAAAAAAAGUGUACGAGAAGGAUGAUAGGUUGAGAUAUAUAUCAAGGGUGAUAGGGGGGUGAUAGGGAUCAGCUUAGAGAAAAAUUAGACGAAACUAAUUAAAUUCAAUGUUAAAUGAUGUGUCAUAUUUUAGGUUGGUUAGAUUAUUAGGAAACUAAUGAAAAUGGCUUGAAAACUUUGAGUUUUAAUGAUAAGGACAAAAUAAAGGGUAAAGUGAAUAGUAUCAGGAUUGACUUUUUAAUGUAAAAAUGUGGUUUUUCGUUAAAUUGAACAGUACCGGGAGCUUUUCGUUAAAGUUCCCUAGAUUAUUAUUAUGUUAGUCUAGAUAUAGCGAAAUGCGGUAUAUGUAUAAUCUCUAAAUAUAGAGACUCGGAUCCCAUUAGCAUAUAUGACUGUAGACCCAAUUUACCAGAAAAAUUAAAUUAAUUAAUUAAUUAAAGACCAAAAGUAAAGAUUGAGAAUUUUAUUUUUUUUUUUAACAAAUGAUAUUAUUUACAGUAAGGGAUGGGAGGUGGGCGGGCUAAGUCUCCCAAUGUGUAUGUAAUAAUGUGGUUAAAAUCCAUUUUUAGCGAGAAUCGAACUUAAGACCUCUCACUUACAAGUAAAAGAAAUAUCACUAGAUUAUAGUAUUAAAUGAUUAAAAGUGUGUUACAAGUAAAAAAUUGGGAAUUAGAUAUCAAAUCAUUCGAUUCAUUCCUAUGUUAAUUAAAGUUUAUAUGGAGAGAAAAGUGUGUUUGAUGACGUGUAUGUUUCGUGGCCUUUUCGAUUCCAAGAGGGCAUGAUGAGGACGAUAAUGGACGAUAUAGUGUAUAGUAUUUCGAUUAUGUUAUUGCGUACAGAACAAUCUCAUGUUUUACUCAUUAAUUAAUGGAUGUCUUACUCUUCCGAUUUAUAUAGUAAUUAUAUCGAGUUUAUAUUCAUCCGGUCUAAUAUAUUGUAUUCGUAUUGAAAUACACAUUUUUACCAACGAGUCUUUAGUACAUUAGUAGUUGUCUUUUACUUGAUUAGAGGAAGCCGCAUGUCGAACUUAUAAGAAUAUGAAAAAGAUACAUAUUGUUUUGUUAUGACGAUGUUUGUGGAGAUCUGGAGUGAGUUAACCCCCAUCGAAAGAUUAAGAAAUCUUACAAGGGUACUUAGAAAACUAGUUUACACCUAGUCAAUAAGCUUUAGAUUGAAACUUCAGCUUUCUUAACAGUAUUAGCAACUCGUGUUCCACAUCAUCCAAUAUAUCCACAUUCUCAUUGAAGUUGGUUAUUGGAUUACCACCUCGACUCCAAAUUCCUUGAGAAUGAGAAAUUGAAUUUCUAAUUUGGUGUAGACCUUACUUCUCUUUUGAUUCCUCUAUAGUUAACGAACACAUGAAUAAUCCAUAGGCAAGUCCAAUUCUUUAAUAAGUCAUGGAUUUUUUUUUUUCAAAUUAAAAAGAAAUUUCAUUAUAAAUUGUCAAAAAUUUACAUAAGGCAAAUAUGUCAAGGUAGAGCGAACCAAGAGGCUACACAUGCCAGAUACAAUACAAUUACUUAAACAUGAUGGAUCUAAAUUCAACCAAUAGAAAAGAUAUUCACGGUAACUAAAUAUUGCAAGUGGGAGAACCAUCAUAAAUGCACCACAAGGGAAAACCCGCAGCACCAUAUGGUGCAAUCGUUGACAAAGAAGCCAUAUUAUGAGUCACUUCCAACUAACAUUGAGCUUUCCCCUCAUGGUUCCUUGCCUAGUGCACAAACCAGAACCGGUGCUGCAAAGGACUCACAUUGACAAAACAAGAGAAUAACUACAACCAUAACCACAAAGACGCUCCUCAUUAAAGUGAGAGUGCGACUAUAACUACAAAUGCUUUCCUUAAUAGAGUGAGAAAACGAUCACUACUAAACACACAAGAAGGAAAAGAGAGGAGAUGAUGGAUGCUUAGAUUUGUGUGGAAAUCUCAUUAAUUUUAUGUUGAGUUCAUAUUGUAUAUGUCAUGGACACCUCCGUAAAAUAGCAAAGUAAACAUAUAAAAAUAUAAAGUUAGGUAUCGUACGAUAACUAUUUCUGUUUUUAGUUUUUAUUUUUUGGUUUGCACUUUUCUUUUUUUUUAAAUUAGAACUUAUUUGGUAAUUACUUUAAAAAAAAUAAAAAUUGAAAACAAGAAAUGAAAACUCAAGACUACUGUAGCUUUCAGUUUUUGCCUUGGUUUUCAUUAUUUAUUUUUUUAAACUGAAAAUUGACAAAAAAACUUAAAAUAGUUACUCAAUAAGAUCAAUUUUCAAUUAAAAAAAAAAAAAAAAAAACUGAAAACGAACUGCUUAUCAAAUGAACACUUAGAAAAGCAUGGUUUUUUUAAAGAAUUAUUAAUUUUUAACUCAAAAAGUCCACCUAGAAAGCUACAGGGUUCAUUUUUAUGUAUCUCUUUGCUGUCAUCAUCUUUACCACUAGUAUGAAUGAUUAUACAAACCCAUAAUUAAUCAUACAAAUUACGUGGGGCUAUCCUUCGUGGGUAUCAUCGACAAAAAAAAAGUUUGAUGAGCGUAAAUGCAUAAAUAUGAAAUGUUUAAUUAGGUAAGCUUUUUUUUUUUUUUUUUUUUUUUUUUGGAAAAUUAGGUAAGCUUAACAUCUCAAAUCUUGAAUCAUUGAGUGUUUAGCCGGUUGUAUUUUGGGUGACACUCGUAAUUGCAUUGAUCUGCACCAAUAGUAUCUCAAGAUUCAAGAACCUCUCUUUUUUUGACAAUUUAUUAUAGAGAACUUUAACGAAAAGCACCUGGUACUGUUCACUUUAACGAAAAACCACAUUUUUACACUAAAAAGUCAAUCCUGGUACUAUUCACUUUACCCUUUAUUUUGUCCUUAUCAUUAAAACUCAAAGUUUUCAAGCCAUUUUCAUUAGUUUUCCUUUUAUUCUAUUCUAAAUCACUCUAGUUAAGUAUAAAGCGAGUAAAUACAUUGUCCAACCGAAAAGACAUGAAUAAAUUUCUUUCAUAUUGUUCGUGAUCAGCAUCAAUGCCUCCAUGAGACGAACUUAGGAUUAAAACAGCAUUUUUUUGGGGGUAAUUUUUGAGGAAUGAUUUAAGUAAUAUUUAGUUAAUGAAAAUCUUCUUUGUAAGGAUUCCAAAGAUCCUUCAAUCAUAUUCAUUCAUUAUAUAUCGUGUGGUAAAAAAAUAUGAUAAAUUUUUUCGUCUAAAAUUAAAUAUAAACAAUACCUGACGAAAACUGACCGUACGAUGUACGAUAAACGAAUACGAUUAGAGAAUUAUCAAAAUUCUUCCAAGAGAAUCCGAAAAUGAUCACCAUUCAAUGUAAAAUAACAUAAAGAAAUAACAAGGUACAAACUUUCAUGUGUUCAUCGUUUUCGGUGGAGGUGCAAAUCUCUAAUUAAACCGACCCGCACUACGACUUAUUGUGUUGCCUGCUGCCAAAGUGCCAAGCCUGCAACUGUGUGUAGAUAUGUAUUUUAGUAUUACCAAAUUUAGCACAUUGCUUUUUUAUGCGUGUGAUUAUUCUAUUUCAUGAACCCUCGUGUGUGCACAAUUUCAGAGCCAGAACUCGCAGUUCCCACCGUCCUAUUUCUGAAUUUCACAAAAGAUUCCAGCCAUAUUAUCUUCACACUAAUUUUUAUGGGGUCUGGAGGUACGAGAUAUUUUAGAUUUGUUUAAGCGUCAAAUUUUUUAUUCGAUAUAAAAGAUUUAAGAGAUAAUAUUUAUGUAUUUUGAUGCGAAAAAAUAAUUUAUAUGAAACGAAUGUAUCAUCUUGUGACAUUUUAAUUCGAUAAACAAAUUGUCAUAUGGGGCAAAACGUACCCAUGAUAACAUAUUAUUGAACAAGGAACGUAACAGACGGUGCACUUGUUUUAUGUAAAUCUUUCUAUUAGUGCGAGUUUGACCCCCACCAUCCUCCUCCCUCUUAGCAUUUAACAAUUUAAUCCAACAACGUUAUCGUUUGUCAAGAGAUUUAACGUGAAAAAAACUUGAAAUAUCUUAUACUCUGAAACACCAUAAUAUUUUAAAAGAUUUUGACUAGCAUAAGGAAAGUUACAGGUGAUUAUGAUCUCAUUUGUUUGGACCAUACUUCGUCAAUUCCGAAACUACCAAGCACCGAUCAUCUCCAUAUUUUUAGGGGCCUCUUGGCCACCAUCGUGCAAUUCACUAGCAGCAGGAAUCGAACUUAAGACGUGUUGUGUGAAUUAUGAGCCUGAAAUUCAUUAUCAACCAUUAAGCCAUCCCGUGAUAGUUACUCUUCAAUGUGCUACAGAGAUGGUGUCGGUUGAUUCAAAACCUUAGAGAUGGAGCUGGUUGAUUCACCUACUAUAUCAUCAUAUUCACCAAAAUUCUAAAAAUUAUUUUAACUCCAUAUAUAGAACUUUUGUAAAACCCCAAGAAAAGCCAAAUGAGAACAAAAAUGUAUUUUCUGUUUAGGAAGGGAAGAGAAAAAUGAAAAAAAAAAUCUUUUUCGUUCAAAAGUUGCUGCAUUGGUGGGUGUAGAAAGAACGACAACCAAACACGGCCUUAGCCGUCGGGUCCCCCUUUUGGAAUUGGUUCCAAACCCAAGGCCCAUAUAAAAUUUUAAAAAUCCAGGGUAUUUCCGUCAAUUACAUUAUUUAUCCAAAAAGCCUCUCUUCCAGUUCCGGAACGACGCAUCCGAAAAUUAGGAAAAUUCGAGGACAAAUUAGUCCUUUCAAAGUAAUUUCAAUUUUGUAAAUAGCCGUUUAAUAAUUUUGAAAUUUAUAACGACGUCGUUGUCCUCUCUCUCUCUCUCUCUCUCUGACUUUCUCUCUCUUGUUGUCACAGAAAGAUUAUUUUAUAAUCCAAGCAAGCCGUCCAAAUCUCUCUCUCUUCCGUGGAGCCUCUUACCAUCAUCAACCCCAUUUGCGAAGCCAAAUUCCAACAAACCCUCCCUCCCUCCUUACAAUCAAAAUUAGGGUUUUGCUUUCUCCCAAUUCGCUCGCAGAUCUGAUCGAAAUUGCUAUUCUUUUCUUUUGAUCAAUUGAUAACCGCAGAUCUUGGUUGCGUAGUUUCUUCUAUUUCAUCCGGUCCGGUUCGUCCGAUUGCGAAUGCAAGAAUUUGAUUGAUUUUCUGCAUUGUUUGGUGUGGAAUUUCUGAGAUCGAUUCGAUCGAAUUGCAGAUUCUGAGGGUUCGAAAUCGCAUUUCCGUUGGUUUUACUUUCAUGUCCCGCUUCGAAUUCGAGUUUUCUCCACCCUGUGAGUAUAUGUAGUUUCAUGCAGAUCAUCGUGCUUCUAUUCGUUUGAAAUUCUUGUGCUUUUUGCGUUUUACGUGUUUAUAUAAACGCAUUUUGGUGGUGUGUUUUUGUGGAGCAGUUGUUGGUAUUUAGAUCCUGAAAAUUGGCUCCUCAAAGACGGUCGCAGCGCCACAUGGGUGGCCAGAUGCAGCAGAGCAAUGCCGCCGCGGCAACCGCUCUGUACGACCACGCCACCGGCGCUGCCGCAGGGCCUCUGCACAAUGCAGGGCCGACAGGUGAUGCUGGUGAUGCGGUCAUGGCCCGUUGGCUCCAGUCCGCCGGGUUGCAGCAUCUGGCCUCACCAGCUUCCACGGGCAUUGACAAUCGUCUCCUUCCCAAUCUCCUCAUGCAGGUAUUGUUAACUUGUAUUUAUAACCAUUACCAAUAAGAUUGUGCUAUCUUAUGAUUCUUAUCCUCCUUUUACAUGUGUGAAUACGUGAUCACUGAUGUCUAAGUGUUUGAUUUGUAAAAGGGUUAUGGAGCUCAAUCUGCCGAAGAGAAGCAGAGGCUUUUCAAAUUAAUGCGAAACCUCAAUUUCAAUGGGGAGUCUGGUUCUGAGCCAUACACACCUACUGCCCAAUCUCUGGGAGGAGCUGCAUCGGAUGGUUUAUAUUCUCCGGAAUUAAGGGGUGAUUUCGGAGCGGGGUUGUUGGAUCUUCAUGCUAUGGAUGAUACAGAGCUUCUGUCCGAGGUAUAGUUCUUAAAUAAUUAAUGAAUAUUCUGCCUUUAACUCAACUUGAAAAGUUCUGCAUGAAUUGAUUCUGUAAAUUCAUAACAACAGAAGCCAGUACAUCAAUAACUCUCGUGUCUACUAAGUAUCAGACGAUGAGGUAGAUAACUAAUCGGUGACAGUCAUUUUAUUUGAAGUUGCCUUACAACGCUUUAUGCUAUUAUUCAAGAUCUGCAGAAUUCUGACCAGUUGUGCGCUUUGGUAUAUCAAGUUGUGACACCAUUAUUUUGGUCUGAAAUUACGGCCCAGCUCUUAUGAGCUAAAAUAAAUUGAAAAUUCAAAUGUCUCACUUGUUUUGCUGGGAUACCCAAAUGCUAAAACUCAGAUUUGGGUUUUGACUCUAAAUUUGGAUUGGUCAAGGAAAAGUUUUAUUUUAUGUUAUUUCUACCCGACCAUCUUGGAUUUGGCAAAAAACUUAUAUUUGGGUUUUGAGAUUCUGGUGCAUUGGAGAAGGAAAAAGAUUUUUAUUUAGACCCAAAUCUAACAUCUAUGCUGCAGAUGGCCAAUAUUUGAUUCUAUGGCUAGCACGGUUCCAUUCUUGUUUCCUUUAUCUAUCUGUAAUUGGUCUGUUUUAGAUUUGAUAUAUAUUUAUAGCUGCAGAAAAACUGUUUGUACCUUUGUUGGAAACUAGGAAGCAAGAGGAGUUAAAUUCUCACUUACUUUGGAAAUGUUGUGCAUAACGAUUACAGCUAUCGGGCCAUAGGAAGAAAAGAACUACAAUUUCUGUUCUUUCUUGUUCUGUUCCUUUUUUUGUUAAUAAAGUGCGGUAUUGUUUACACGUGCAGCAUGUCAUCUCUGAACCCUUUGAGCCAUCACCAUUUAUGCCUGGUGGUAAAGAAUUUGAGGAUGAGUUGAAUUUGACAAGUAAUAGGCAGCAAAGAGUGCUACCUGAUCCAGAUCCAUCAUUUCCAUUAGCCCAGAGUGAAAAGGAGAGCACAAAGGAAAACAAUGUGGCUAAGAUUAAAGUUGUGGUAUGUGUGCUUAUAUCUGACUUGGUUCCUUAUUUCUGUAUGAAUGCUUUGUAUCAUAUACCAUUUUUGGCAUCUUCUGUUGUGUGAUUUGGAGGCAUAUGAUGGAAUGUCAAGUCUAUUACGUUUCAUGGAAAUUUUGAAAGAUUUGUGCUCUAAUGGUUAAUAUUAGGUACGCAAAAGACCUUUGAACAAGAAGGAGCUUUCACGGAAGGAGGAGGAUAUUGUAACCGUGUAUGACAAUGCUUAUUUGACAGUCCAUGAACCCAAACUAAAGGUUUGUUCUCAGCAUUCACAAGGCACCAGAUGCUACUUGAACUUUUAGCUGAAUUUUGUUUUUGGGAUUGAAGUCUCUUUUCCUCACAUAUCUUCUUUGGGAUUUACUUUUUGUUCUCAUAUGAUAGGUGGACUUGACUGCAUACGUGGAGAAGCAUGAAUUUUGUUUUGAUGCUGUACUGAAUGAGCAAGUUUCAAAUGAUGAGGUCAGAGACUAAAAUUUCCAUGUACACAAGUGUCUAAAUGUUACCUAAUUCCUUUAGUGUUUAGGAUACUGUUGCAUAUUGGGCAUAGUCUGUUCCUCUACGAUUGUUAUCAGUUCGAUAGAAUAAGUUUGAUGACUUUAAAUGCUUUUUGGAACAGGUAUACCGGGCUACUGUAGAACCAAUCAUUCCCAUAAUUUUUGAGCGAACAAAGGCUACAUGUUUUGCUUAUGGUCAAACAGGUAUGUUGUUCAUAUGAUCUUCCCUUUUAAUACACUACAUGAUUAUCAGCUUAUCCUUGUUGAUACUUUAUUCUUUUCCAUACAUGUAUUAGACAGUCAUCAAAAUGCAGUAUCUUUUCAUUGGUUGAGUUAUUAAUUGUACUGAGCUUGUGAUAAACUGGAGUUUAGAUCUGAGACAUUAUAUUAGUGGUUUUACUUAAUGCUAUGUGAUCCUUUUCAACGAAGUUAAAUGUCUGCAUUAUUGAAGUACUAAUGAGGUUUGAAUUAUAGGUAGUGGUAAGACAUUCACAAUGCAACCGUUACCUAUCAGAGCUGCAGAAGACCUCGUCAGAUUGUUACAUCAGCCAGUUUACCGUAACCAGAGAUUCAAAUUGUGGCUUAGCUAUUUUGAGAUUUAUGGUGGAAAGCUCUUUGAUCUUCUCAGUGAUAGGAAGUACAUCUCUUUGCUUCAUUGGUUCUUUUAUUUUGAUGUUAUGAACAUAUUCAAGUUCAUUGUUUAAUUUUUUUUCUUUUAAAUUUUUAAAUUUAAAUUGCUACUAUAUUCGAAUGGGAUUUGAACCCAAUAUCUUAUUAGAGGAGGUAUAGGCUUGUAGAUACUUUGGGGAAUAGGCUAUGUUAGUGCAUUAUAAUAGUCUGAUGAGUAAAAAGAUUGGGUGCAAGUUAGAUUCUGUGGAAUCAUUAUGGUAUUUGGGUUCUGAUUAUGUGCAAUUCUGGGUUCGACAUGCAUUGUGCAUCAUUUUCUUUUAUAUGCAACACAUUUCUUUUCAUGCCAUUUAGACAUAAUGUACAUAUGUAUAUGUAUGUGAAUUUUGGUUCACUUGGCGGUGUACUUCUAUAACUGUGUUAUGACAUGAGUGACUUCAUUCCUUUACAAUAGGAAACUAUGUAUGAGAGAAGAUGGACGACAACAAGUUUGCAUUGUUGGACUGCAAGAGUUUGAAGUUUCAGAUGUACAAAUUGUUAAAGAAUUUAUUGAGAGGGGGAAUGCUUCUAGAAGUACUGGAUCGACAGGUGCUAAUGAGGAGUCUUCUCGGUCUCAUGCUAUUUUACAACUUGUUGUUAAAAAGCACACUGAGGUAAAAGAUUCCAGGCGAAACAUUGAUGUAAAUGAAUCUAGAAGUGGGAAGGUUGUGGGAAAGAUCUCUUUUAUUGAUCUUGCUGGUAGUGAAAGGGGUGCCGACACCACUGAUAAUGACCGACAAACAAGGUAAUCUUCCAAGUUUAUCUUUUUUUGGGCUGUACCUCUUCCAUCAGGAUAAUGCUUCUUAGGCUAUAAAAUAAACCAUUAUUGUUCUUCGCAUUCAUUGUAAUGCAAGUUUUAUAUUGGCAUGAUGAUUUACUGGCUACUGCAGUUUCUUUAAUUAAAAUGGGUUAUUGCAGAAUUGAAGGAGCAGAAAUUAACAAGAGCCUUUUGGCACUUAAGGAGUGCAUUCGUGCCCUGGACAAUGAUCAGAUCCAUAUACCUUUCCGUGGAAGCAAACUCACAGAAGUGCUCCGUGACUCCUUUGUUGGAAAUUCAAGGACUGUUAUGAUAUCUUGCAUUUCUCCAAAUGCAGGGUCAUGCGAGCAUACACUUAAUACUUUGAGAUAUGCAGAUCGGUAUGCUUUAUGCUAUUGUCAACUUAAAUAACUCUAAGGACUUUGCUACUGGUUAAUGAUUACACUUAUGUUUCAAACUAAAAGAUUAUUUUAUACAAACAGCGUGAAAAGUCUUUCAAAGGGUGGCAAUGCUAGAAAGGAUCAAGCCAUAAAUUCAUUACCACCAGCGAAUAGGGAUGUUUCAUUAGCAUCUUCUACACUGGUUUCUUCUGAGGUAGAGGAUGUCCGUGAGCAACAUCAAGAAGUUAAAGUAGCUGAUACAGGUAGAAGAGCUGUGGAGAAGAAAGUUUCUCAUAUAUCCCUCCUACUCCAGAGUUUGACAAGCAGCCAGCAAAGUCGUCAUCAAGUAAUCCCAUCAAUGUUCGGGAAGAAAGUGGGGUGCCUUCUGGUUCAAUGGACAGGGAGAGAUUUGAAAUGAAUAAUUCGUAUGGUGAUAAUUACAGUCAGAAGUUGCCCAAUUAUUCUAAAAACUCGGUUGAUACAGAAGAGAGAGUACAAAAGGUGUCGCCACCUCGUAGGAAAGUAACCAAGGAUGAAAAAUCAGAAAGGCUGGGGAACUGGCCGAAAAAAGUUGGUUCGGAUCUCUCCACCACAAGCUCUAAGCAGCAAAGUACCGGAAUUUAUAAUGCAAGCAAUGCUGGAUCCAGACAAUCUGAGCCUGAAGUUCCUGAUGGGAAUAUCAAUGCCAUUCUUGAGGUUGGUACUCUGUGGCCUAACUCAUUUUAACCGUGUAGUUAUUUUUUUAAGUUCUCCUGCACCCCCUGCUAAUUUGUUGAGUUCUUUGGACUGUUUAGGAAGAAGAGGCCCUUAUUGCUGCCCAUAGAAAAGAAAUUGAGGAUACAAUGGAAAUUGUUCGCGAAGUAAGUGAAAAUUUUUGUCUUUUGAUUUUAAAGAUGAGAUUUUCUAUUGGCUAUUAUCAGUCGUGCAUAACAUGCAAACUCUCCGUUUUAAGUUAUUGUUUGGUUUUGUACGUUCAUGAACUUUGAAUGGCGUUUUUUUUCAUCUUUUCACAUGGUGCUCAUCCCUGUUGUUUGGUUACCAGGAAAUGAAACUGUUGGCGGAAGUGGACCAACCGGGGAGCCGCAUAGACAACUAUGUGACCCAGUUGAAUUUUGUUCUUUCCCGCAAGGCAGCCGGUCUGGUUAGCCUUCAAGCCCGGCUUGCAAGAUUCCAGCACAGACUAAAAGAACAGGAAAUACUAAGUCGGAAAAGAGUACCUCGUUAAGGCAGGCACUUUGUUUCGCUGCGCACUGUAUCUUGUAUUGUAGACAUUACAAAGCAGGAGGCCUGUGGGAGAGGAUUUGAGGCAUUGCAGACUCCGGACUUUGUUCACAUCCAGACUUCUGGCUUGAAGCACGGGAAUGGGGAUAGGAUUCGUGUCUUUUGCCGGUAAUUUGUGUUUUCUUUUGUAAUUCUUUAGAUAAGUCCGUCGAUGUGUUCUUGCCGAGUUCCUCUGGAUUUUGGAUUUCGGCUGUUGUGUAAUGGUGACCGGGGAUUUGAUUGCACAAAGUAUUUUCUAGUAAAGGAAAAAAAAUGAAAAUAUAAGGUUUAUAUUUCAUUUUGUUUGGUUUUUACUGUUCCUCGAGUAGCCAUGUCAGAGAGUUGCAAGCCCCUUCUAAAGGAUUUGGAUCCUCUCCUGAGCUAAUGGAGAGGAUCCUCCUAACCACUAAUCAUGGGCCGUUGGAUUUUUAUCCAACAGCUAUAAUUAUUAUAACUUUAAAAGGGCCCUCCUGGUUGUAGCCGUUGGAUAAAAAUCCAACGGCCAUUGAUUAGUGGUCAGGAGGACCCUCUCCAUUAGCUCAGGAGAGGAUCCAAGUCCCCUUCUAAAGGGCUUGCAACUCUAGUGCUAAAAUCGCAUUUACUCCUGCAUCUGAGGUUUUGAGACCGUUUCUUUUUACCACAAUUUUAACCACUCGAAGGGUUUCAAAAGCACUUGAGCAAUGGUUUGAAGGUGCCUUGAGUAGCUAUAUUUCUGAAUUCCCAAAGCAUAAGCAAAUUGGCCAAAACAAACGAAACCUUUGUUUUAUAAAUAGAAAUAUUUCUCACGACAGUUGGAUCAAGAUACAAAGGACCAAAAGGAAACCUGCAGUCUAGGAUUUGUUCAGGCUCUCAACAUUUAUGUUUCCGGCAAUCAAGGUUCCCACUUGUAUUGUAUAUACAAGUAACUAUUUCCGCAUCGUGCUCUGAUAAGCCUUGACUUACAGGACUCACCUCGCCAGGACAACUCUCAAAUCACUCAAAAAAAAUGCGAAACUGGCACGACCGGCAAUAACACUAUGAAUCUAAUGCAGACAUUGAUGGGCACACCUACUUCAUGAUAUCAUUAGCUAAUUCCUGAUUGGUACUACAGCAUGUCAAAAGCUUGCUUCGUAGACACAAUCAGUCUGCUCUCAAUUUUAGGAUCUCCUUCGCUGUUCUCGAUCGAAAAUAUGGCAUGUGUUCCUGCAAUGACAAUAAAAACAGGGUUGAAUCAUACUAACUAAAAGUUGUUCAGCAGAGCGAGGAAUGGUUGGUAGUGCGAGUUUUUCAUGGAAACCUAAUCCAAGAGCAGGCCAUACAUGAGCAGUUCAUUCUAUUGCAUACUAGUACGAGAGGAAAGAAGAAGAAAUAAAAGGAGCCAGUACCGAGAUUCUUCCCCCUAGAAUAUUGGCUAUAAUUUCCCAUUUUAAAGGUUUGAAUGCAUGUGCAGUCAAAUAAAUAUGAAUUAGCAACAGAAGCAUCUCUAUAUGCGUUACCUGUUUGAAACAGAGCCCAAUAUCCCUGCUAUAAAAGUCAGCAUAUUUAACCAUGAAAACACCACAGUCAUACCUGUUAUAAAGAAAUUGAUCAGAACAAUUAAUUAUAAAGAGUUCGCAAAAAAAAAAAUAUUAAUAAUAAUUUCCAGCAAGUGUCAAGACAUGCAAUGUUAGCCUACCCAUUCUCCUGCUCAGGAAGGUUGUCAACAUAUUCUAAUUCCCAAGAACUCAAAUCGAUAUCCUCUCCACUCUUGUCCUUCACUUCAUCAACGUAGUAUUUAGCCUGCAAAUAUACACAGUGAACCGUUAGCUGCAACUCAAUUGAUUGAAUGGAUUUACUACUUUUCCUACCAUUUUCUCAGGGCCUGCCAUAAGAAUCGAGAAAAGGAAAAAGAAAAAGAUGAAUAAACUACCAGGUGGGCCUAAUAAUAUCUUCUGGCCUGCACAGAAUAUACUGUUUUUCUUUUGGCCGUCAAAAUGAGGCAAAUAAACAAUAGUACCGGAUGGAUCAGCUAAAUGAACAAAAGGGAAAAUAGUGAUACUUCUAACUAUGAUGUUAAAAUCAAAGUUCUGACAAGCCAUUGUUUCCAGAGAUGUGAUGUCCAUAUAGACUGGUGGAGCCAGAACUUCAUAUGGGUGGGCGGACAACCUAAAUUUAGUAGCCAUUUCCUAAAACUGCACAAUUCAAAGCCAUAUACCUUGAGGUGGGAGACAAGACCACUAGCAGUCUUAACAUUGAGACGGCCUGGUAGCCAUAGUGUUCAAAGGGUUGGUUGGGAAAUCAUUAUGUGCAACUACAUAACAAAUGAGGAGUGUAUUGUCUGCACUACUUUUUGGCCUUCAAGCUUCUAGACAAUUAAUUCAAAUAUCACUUACCACCAAUUAAGAUUUUUUACUAUGAAGAGUUAAUUGAUGGUAGAUGAUUGAUGAAAUGGUUGCUCAGACAUCAUGAACACUAAAAUGUUUCUGAGUGGAGAAUGGCUUUGGAUUCAAUAAUUUGAUGUGCAGAUUGCAUACCACAUUAAGAGUGCAUGCAGGGAGGGAUAUUCUUCCCAAGUUCCGCAGGCAAGGCUGACAAUAUGAUUUUAUACACUUUUAAAACCCAGACAGUUCCCACAGAUGGUUUAUAAAAGAGUAGCAGGAAAUUAUAAGGUACCAACAAUGGCAAGAAUUUUAGUAUUAUAAAAAAAAAUACCAACGUCCCAUACCCCUUACCACAAAAAAUAAAAUAAAACAGGUGUUAUCGAGGGUAAGCACCAUGCAUCAAUAAAUUAUAUCAACAGCCAAACAAAAGAUGACUACAAAACGUACCAAUAUUCUCAUCACUUGGGUAUCCCUUCCUUUGAGUGAAUCAAGAUACUGUAACUUCUGAUCUACCUUGUUAAUAACUGCCAAGCACCAAUGUAUUUCUUUGUGGAUGGGGACAAAUAUCUGAAAAGAAAACCACUUAUGAAAUAAAUGUGAUUUCCGUAGAACUGAGUAUAUGGUGUAAGGAAAAAGGUUUGAUUAAAGUUACUUUGUCGCAAUCAAUGAGGUAGUAUCCCAACUUUCUUUCGGUAGUCCACCUUCUGACAGAUUUAUAAUCAUAGCCACCUUUCCCACUUAUCAACUGCACAUUAAAUUUCAGAAAAAUAAGAGCAUGGAAAAUCUUAAUCGGACAGCAAAGAUGGUACCCAAUCUAGGCAAAUUAUUACUAGGAGUGUGAAUGCACGGGCUGAGUUGACAGGCCUUGCCUGCAGUUAGCCUAAAGAGCACAUGGCUGAGCUCUCAACCCAGCCCAGCCAUCAGGCCUAAAGUUGAUCAAAAUGUAAUAUACGUAAACAAUGGGACAAACAACUGGGGCAUUUCGGGUCAGGCUUAUAUCAGGCUGAUUUAUUUUCUGAACUUCAAAUCAAAUGUUUUAAAUCAGCCACAACUCAGACGAGACUUGUCCUAAAGGUCGAUGAAAUUGCAGCACAAUUUGACCAAUUGAAAAUAAACUGGAAUUAGAGCUUCAUAUAUUAUUAACAUUUUCAAAACAUAUAUUGUUUCAACUCUUAAGGAAGUUUCAUAAAUCAAGGAGUGACUAUAUAAUUCAUAAUAGUGUGCACUUAUCUAGACAAGAAAUUAAUGAUAUCAGCAAAAUAUUUGCCAAACUCUUCUGACUGUAAAAAGAAAAAAAGAAAAAAGAAAAAAAGAGAGAACUAAACAGGAUAUGCAUAUACAAAUAUGUGCCGAGAACCAUGACUAAAAGAUAUAAGAAGACUACAUGCAAAUUACAAACCUUUGUAUAGAAAAAUGUGUUGAAGAAGUGACAUUUUAAGAACUUUUGUGGUUCUCUCUUCUCCCUCUCUUUCAGCAAUUCAAGGUACACAUUUAUGACCUGAAAGCAAGAAAGUGCACGUUAUCAAGAAACUAAAUUACCAGUUUGGUAAGCCCGUAUAAGUCCCACAUCAACCAUUAAAAACAAAAUCUAAUGAAGAAACUUAAUCUUUGUCAUUGCUAAAAAAAAAUGUAAACACAUAACCUAAGAAUACCUCAUCCUUCAACCACGCCCCUGGUCUAAGGCACUGCAGAAGUUCACCAGUUAUCUCUAUGUUUGAGUUCUCAUGAGUUACCAAGAUCCUCUUCCUGUUGAAGGAACCCCAACAAUGUUAUAGUUUACCAUACACCAAUUUUAAAAUGAACCAAUAUAUAUGCAUAAAUCCAUACCGGUUGGAGGAAGAAAAUGCUUGCUCAAUCUCCGCCACUUCCUCCUUUCUAAGAGGGACAAAUGGUUCAACGGGCACAACCUAAAAAGAAAUGGGAAUAGCUUAUUAAGACUUCGUUACCAAUCAUUACUUCCAGGUUGAUACAAGCUUUUUAACUUUAGAAUUAGUAACAAUUCUUCAAACUACAUACCAAGCAUAUCCCCAGAUAACCAAAGAAAUGAAAAUUAUACUUUAUAGUUUAUAACAGGUAGAAAGUUAAUGCAAAACGAUAAAACAUUCACCUCCACUGGUUUCUUUUGUGGACGCAGCGAUUCAAGCAUAUACCGUUUCUUCCAAUGGAAGUCAAUUUGGAAAUCCAAAUGUUUCAGUUUCGGAGUCCGCCUCUCUACACUCUCAAUCAACAGCUUGUAUGCUGCCUUACUUGGCACACCCACCUCACGAUUCAGCGACAGUGAGUCCAACAUCUUCCCUGCACUGUCCUCUUUGAAAGCAGUAUUCGUAGUUGUGGUCAAGUCUGAAACCACUGAAGAAGCCGAUGGAUGAGUAGCCUGAGUUCCACAAUCCACCAUCUUCGUAUCCAAUUCCUGCCCAUAAUCCACCACAGAAGGCCCUUCUUGGUCAUCUUCCUCUAUAGCCACAACUUCUUCUAUGCUUGAAUCCUCGGAAACCCGAUCAUCUUCAACCUCCUUAUCCAAUUCAAUCACCUCCUUGUCCUUGGUCGAAUACCGAAAUGCACUGAAGGCGACGUUCUUUGCCUUGUCCAAAUGGUAACUCAGUACAUUGCCCAUCGACCGCUCUUCAGGAACCCCUCUAGUUUUCGGACUCAAACCACGAAAGGACCCGAAUUUUUGUGUUCUGCAAGGGGCGUGAACUCUAGGCAAUGGGGGCUUUAUAUCCGGGUACCGAGAGAGCCUCGAACCGGCGCUUUUAGAAGAGACGAUGAGUUGGUUCGGGCUCUGAUUCACGUGAGACAAUCUGGGUCGCUUCGAGCUUUGAAAAUUAGGCAAAUUCAGAGAUGGGUGCGCACAAUUGAAGCUCAAACGCUCGUCCCCUCGCUUACGGUUGCUGGUUAGCGCUCCCAUUGAUAGACCCGGAGCUCAAAAACCCUAGAAAUUCACAUCUCAUCUGAUGAAAACCAUGUUAGGGCAAACAAUCACCUGGCGAAACUUAAAACCCUAAAUGUGGCGCAAUCGGAAUUCAAAAUUAGGGUUUUUGGUAAGCUGCGAAGAGGAAAAAGGGGGGAGAGAAUGGUUCGAUUGGAGCUUGUUGAAAUCGGAAAUUUGAAGGGAGCAAAAACCCUAGAAACGCACCAGAAAAUCUGUGGAGACAAAAGUGUUCCCGCUUCAAUGAAGAUUGAAGGGCUUGAGAAGAAUUUUUUGAUUUUGUUUAGUCGGAGAGUAAUUUUAAUUUUGACGCAGUUUGAGUUGGGAUCUGCAUUUCCCAAUUUUGCUCGUGUGCGUUUUAAAAAAGAAAAUUUAACCAAAAACUUCAAAUACCGUUUCUUUUAACGAAAAAUUAUAUUUUUAUAUUAAAAAAUCAAUCUUUAUACUAUUUAUUUAUCUUUUAUUUUACCUUUAUUAUUAAAACUCAAAGUCUUGAAGUUAUUUUUAAUAUUUUUCCUUUUAAGAAACGCUUCGGCUUUUUGGUAGAAUUACUUUUUGUUUUUUUACAUCGAUAUUAUUUUAAUCUCUACUAAUUAAUAAAAUAUUUAUUGUCAACCAAAAUUUUAUGAAAUUAUUAGUUUAACCCUUUAAUUAAAACAUAACAUGAAUAAGAAAUAUGAGGCACAACUGUAAUUUCAUACAAUCAAAUUUUGCUAUUUUUUUUUUCAAAACCUCACUUACAUGUAAUCCUAACAUAUCUCUAAUUAAAAAUAAAUAAAUAAAUAACUUCAUACUCUCACAUUCUCUAUCACUCUGUUCUUCUCUCCUUCUAUUUCAAAAACAAAAAUAAAAAAAAAUUCUCACACACUUUGUGUGCACCCAUAUGCUAGCUAUUUUUAAAAUAACUAAAAAGUUUUUGGUGAAAUUGAUUUUACGUUUUAAACACUUUAAGUGUUUUUCAGAAGAAACACUAUUUUUUGCAUAAAUCAUUUAAAGUGUUUUUCAAAGAUCCACUUAGAUUUUUACUCAUAAUGAAUUUUAAAAAUAUUUUCACUAAAAACGCUUUCAGUCAUUUUAUAAAUAUUUCCAAAUAAGCUAUACAUUAAGGGGAAAAAAAACAAUUCUUUUUUAUGCAAAAAAAUAAAGAAAAAAAAAACCUUUCACCCAUUACUAUACAUAAGGUUUUAACUACUUUCGUUGUGACUUUCUUAGUGUUUACGAAUAACCAGUAGUUCAAAUCUUAACAAGUAAAUAAUAAAUUAAUUAGGAGAAAAAUUAGUUUCGAACUAAUUUCUAACUUGGUUGAUCAUUAAUUAUAUAAACAUGCCUGCUUGAAGAAAUGUGUAUGAAAAUCGUAUACGUUAAAGAGCGAGUGCGAAAGAAAUUAUUCAUUAUAUUAUGUGAUAAACAUAAUUUUAUGGCUUGAAUGUCAAAAUGAUCAACGUGUUAUAGUCAUAUGGCCAAUUUAGUCUUUGUGUUUUUUAUUUAGCUAAUUUAGUCCUCGUAUUUGUCUUUGUUAGCCAAUUAAGGACAUUUCAUUUCAUCUCUAUUAAAAAAUUCAUAAAAAAUUAUAAGAGAUAUAAUUACCUUUUAUCUUUACAGAAAUGAUUUGAGAAAUAAUACAUAUAAGAGAAAAACGUCCAAUAUGAAAAAAUGAUUAAGGUUGUGAUAUAGAAAAGAGAGGGGGUAACGUUAGGGAGGAGGUCGGGAGUUGGGAGGAGAAUAAAUUUUCUUUUAAUUUAUUUCAUUUGAGAUACUUUAAAUGGUAAAUUACAUAGUAGCCCCUCAGGUUUAAGGUCUAUUACAAUCUCAUACAACGUCUUUAAAACAUUUCACUUUCAUACAUCAUGUACCAUUUUAUUUCAAAAUAAUACAUCCGUUAGAUUUUCCGUCCAUUAACCUGUUAAAUGCUGACGUGGCUGCCACAUUUGUGCUGAUGUGGCUGCCAAAUGUGUGCCACGUGGCAAAAAUAAUAAUUUUUUAAUUUUUUAAAAAAAAACAUAAAUCUUCUAAAAUAAAAAAAUAAAAACCCAGAAGCUGAACAAAACCCCACCCCCGUGAACCCCCCUUAUCCUUUUUCUUCCCUGCUCCCAUCUUCCCACACCCCAUACCUGCACCAGAGAACAACCCAGAUCCCAUAUCCCCGCGAAACCCAUACCCCAUAUGACCACCCCCAACCCAUAUCCUAUUACCACGCCCCCCCGGCACGAAACCUAACCCAGAUCCCAUUACCACCCCUCCGACGCGAAACCCAUAUCCCCCCCCCCGAACUGCAAGGACGUCAUCCUCACCCGCAUCAUCUUCGUCGUCGAAGACGACAACGAGCAGGAGCAGCAGGGCGACAAUGAGAAAUCUCGGUCGACGACGAGAUCAGGUGGUGACGAAGGACCUCCAUGAGGAGCAGAGGGAUCAGAGAGAGAGCUCUGCGGUAUAGGCCGCGAUGCAGCGCAGGACCCAAAUUCACCGCCACGGAGACGACCAGAACGUUGAGCCCAUUCCGACCCAACCCCUCAUCCUCAAUCUCUUUUGGUUUAUAAAGAUAUUGACGACAAGGAUCGUAGUUUUGGGGUUAUUGAGUCGAAUUGCGAUGUGGGUAUGGAGGGUUUGGACCUCGAUUUGAGUUUAAGGUUAGGGUUGGGAUUGUUGUUUGGAUGGGGACCUCGAUCUGAUGUGGGUCGUCGCGGGGGGGGGGAGGUAGUAGGUCGUGUGGGUUUUCAGGUAGGUCGUACAAAGAAGGGGAUCUGGGUUGCGGGGAGGUGAGGGGGUGAAGGUGGGGUGUGGGUUUUCAUGUGGGUUGCAGAGAGGUGAGGGGGUGGGGGUGGGAUGUGGGGUUGCGGGGAGAAGAGAGGUGGAUGAGGGAAGGUUUCAAUUUUUUUUUUAAUUUUUUUUAUUAAUUUUAAUAUUUAGAAGAUUUAGGUUUUUUUUUUUUUAAAAAUUAAAAAAUUAUUAUUUUUUCCACGUGGCAGCCACAUCAGCACAAAUGUGGCAGCCACAUCAGCAUUUAACAAACUAAUGGAUGAAAAAUCUAACGGAGGUGUUAUUUUGAAAUAAAAUGAUAUUGGAUGUAUGAAAGUGAAAUUUUUUAAAGUUGUUGUAUGAAGUUGUAAUAGACCUCAAACCUGAGGGGCUACUAUGUAAUUUACCCUACUUUAAAUCAAGUAAAUUAUUUUAUAAAUAAGUUUAUAAUAAUUUAUAUAUAUUUUUUUUACAGAAAUUAGAUAAGAAUGUUCUUAAUUGGCUAAUAGAGAUAAAUACAAAGACCAAAUUAACCAAAUUGAAAACACAUGGAUUAAAUAGAAGACAAGAAAAGUGAGACGAGAAAUUUGGUUGAAUGUUUGCUCAAUAGAUAUAGCCAUAGGUUUGAAUAGACGUCUAGCAACCGAACAAGACUGCAACUAAAACAAACAUCGAAUGCUACAGAACUCACCUGUACCCAUUUGCAUCAGUGAACGUAAAGAUUGCAAGUCUUCGCUGCUCUCGAAGCACGAGUAUAAGCACGUAGCAAAGAUCGAAAGAUGUAUCAAACGCCCACCCGUAAUCCAGCAGAUAAAAUACAUUACAUAGUCCACUUGGGGCAACACCACACAUACGAUGAUAUAGGUAAAUAUUUGACUAGCUAGCAUAGCACUUGAGGUGCGAGCUUAACCAAAUCCACUGCACACAUUGUUUACUCAGACAUUCGAAAAAUAAUACAAAGACAAUUUUUCAUGGGAGAAGACUUUAACACACCAUUUUUCUCCACAUGCACACCCCACGCCUGUUACCGACUGUUUGAUCAAACGAAUAAAGAAAAUCAGCGAACAAAACCAAACAAAGGAUGCAAAUGGAGAAAAAUGGUGUGUAAACAUUUCCCUCUUUCUUUCCCUCAACACAGUAUUUCUUCGCAAGAGAAUCCUUAAAUAAACAAAAGGCAACUACUUGUCAACACAGCAAAAAGGUCCAAUUGUCACCUCGUAUGUCGAAAGCCACCUUAUUCGGUUGUGGCUUUUAUCUGAAAAAUAAGAAAAUAUCUGUGUCAGCAAGGAGGAUAGUUACCAUCAUGUUCCAGAUAAAUUUACCACUGAAACUACCUCUGUAUAAUUCAUUAUUCAUACAAGCUGUACAACAGCAGCCACUCUUAGGGCCCCGUUUUGGAGAAGAUCAGCAAGCUCGUCAAAUAGCAGAGCCGACCGCCAUCCCCAGCCCUUGGGAGCUUUUGGUAAAAGCGUGCCUGUUUGCUUGAAACUCCCAAACACCAUGACUUCCCUCUUUGAUGGGCAAAUUAACUGCAUCAUACAGGUAUAUGAAGCACGGAUUCAAUAUACAAGGUUCUGGCGUAACAUGAAAAUGGGCUAAGUUGACAAUGUUUGGUCACUUUGGAAUGUUACCUGAUAGCGGGCUGUAACCUUUUCACGAGAAUCAACAUACAUCUGCACCUGUUUUGGGCACAAACCGUAAAGUAUCAAUUAACAAUCAUAUGAAUCACAAAUGUGACAAAACAUACUCGUCAGCAAAACACAGUGAAAAAGGGUGAUCCUUUAAAUGUGAAGAUAAGAAGCAUUCUUCUCCAUAACUAAAAUAACCCAAUCAUGCUCGAACAAUCAAGGGAAGGCUGGCUAACCUUUCUGAAUGAAUCAGUAAUCUCUGCCUUACGUCGGUGAAUAAAUAAUCCUGAAAUAACAAAUAUAUGAUAUGCAUUCAGCUUAAGCAACAAAUUUAAAAUAUAAUUCAGAAAAGCAAAACAACAUGCUUCCAAGGUAUAUAUCAUUAAGCCAGGAACAGUACCAAGUGUUCGACGUCCUUGAGGAUCUUCAUCAUUAAAAGCCUGAACGCUAACCUAUAAAUUGGAACAGAAUACCCAUUCUGUCUGAGAGCAUGGAAAUUGGAAAUCGGAAAAGCAUCACCACAUAUGUAAAUCUUAUAUUGAAAAGAACAACAAGUUUGUACUCAAACACCUUCCAUAAAGAACCAGCAUAAAAGACUUCUGAAGAGUGCUUCACUUGGCCAUCACUAAGCCUGUGCACAUCCUCAAAUUGCACCCUGUAAAAAAAAGGGUGACUUGUAAUUAGUAGGACAGACAAUUGAGCAUGAUGACCAAUCAUUACAUCCACAUUAUAAUAUUGUUAAUGACAUUCGGACUUGAGCAGAUUCUGACUCAACCAUCCUCACACACACAAAAUCCAGUCCCAAGCAGAAAGGAAUUGCAUAAGUAGAUGUGCAAAGGCACUUAUAUAAUUAGGUAAUCAAUUUGUAAAGGAGACUUCUAAGCUAGUAGAUCAUAGGACAGCAUCCUAAAAAGAAUGUAUGAUUAUUAUUUUCCAAAGAGAGUUCAAAAUCUGAAGCGCAGGUGGAAAGGAGUAAUGGAAAGAGCUCACAUACCCAAAGCGGAAAGGAGGGAAGUGACUUAAAGGUGUUUUCAUAUCCAAUGAGAUGGAAGAACUGCUUGCAUUAUCCCACUCAAUCCCAAGCGCAUGGUCUGACGACUCUACCAUCUGAAUGGGUACACCACUAGUACUUGGCACCGACAUGGACGUUCCAGCCAUUCUGCUCUGCAUAUCCAUCUCAUAGCCUCUCUCUGUUUGCUCCCCAUGAGCAUUAGCUACAUUGUUCCCUCCUUGGCUUAGCCCAACUAAAGCUGUUAAUCCAUCUCCAGACAGGUCCCCAUUAUGGUCAGCUCUAGCCUCUGAAUCAUCAUUAGCAAGAGACUGCUGGCAAUUUCUGUUGCCCAUGCCAAAUGGCACACGGGAAAAGACAAACCGAGUUGGAGGCCAGGCAGUUGCUGGUACAAACGUAGUUCCGCGUCCGAUACCAGCAAGCCCAUCAACAGGACCCCUGACAUGCACACGUACAGGCCUAAAGAGACCAUUUCCUUCACCUGGGGCAGACUCAGCAACAUAUACACCAGGAGAAUUAUUCUGAUUAUGCUCUUGCAUGUAGUAUCCGGUAGUAACUCCCUGUGAGAAUGAAAAUUGCUGUCUGCAACUGCAAGCUAUAUUUGUAAGACAGCAAUUUUUGCACGUAUCAGCACCAACUUCUUGGACUCUCUGGCUUAAAAGCAUCUACAUGAUUGCAUACCAAACAAUUAAGUCAGUAAAAAAUAAACAGAUAGGUUUUCUUUGCAACAUAUUGAUAUUUAAACACACAUAGAAACAAAUAAGACAUCUCUUCAAAAGCAUAACCGCGGGCAACAAUGUGUGUAUGGAAGAAAGAGAUGCCUGGCUUUCUCAAGGUGAGAGGUGGGCAGAGAGCCCUUGCAGUCAGUCUGCCAGGGCCUGUAAAAAUAGUUCUUCGACUGAAGCAAUUUAUCAGCACUAUGGUUUAUAAGAUAUUUUCCAAAUGGUUAACUAUACCAGUUAAUAGGGAUAGCAUGUUAGACAUACAAAUUGCAUACCAAUCAAAAUUACUAUAAAAACUAGAUGCACCUUGUUUGUGCGCACAACCAAAACAUUAACAAAGUAACUGUAAUGAUUGCUCUUUCAUUUCCCCCACACUUGUUUAGCAAAAGAAAGAUGGACUUAAAAAGAAAACAGAUAUAGAAAGAAACCUGCAGCCAAAGACCAUCGUUUACAGCUUUGCAGGGGAACCCCAGUUCCUCAAGUUGCUUUCGUACAUUCAAAAGUGCCUCAAAAGACAUGUUGCAGUAUAAAAGAGAUCCGCCUUCAAAUAUAUUAACAAAUGCAUCAUAUUCCUCCCCACCCACCCCAAAGUUCCCUUUAGCAUAACCUUUAACCUGUCUUCUCCCUACAACCCUGCCACCCCAUGAAAGAGGAGGCAUGCCACAUCUUCCCCAAUCAUUUGGCAUGAGCUCACUAGUGGAAGAGUUCAUUGAAGAGCAUUGCCUUGACUGGUCCCUGGCAAACCAACUGUUGUUAUUUAAGUGAUAGCAUGAUCCUUCAUCAGAUGGCCCUUCCAUAGCCACUCCAUUUGCCCCCAGUCUACUUGCUCCAACACCAACUGGCAUUUCAGCAUAACAUGAGGUUCUCAUCACACCUAUUUCCGAUAGUGAAUUUUUUAAUGAUGAAGGACCACCCAUGCUGCAGUUGUAUCCUGGCUCCAAAUUGGAUUGAGGUUCCACAACUUGUUGGACUUGCUGUUUGGAAUUUGAAACUCUUGUUUGGAAAUCAACCACACAGUCUGCAAGCUCUAUCAAAAGACUACGAGCAGUAUUAUGGCCCUCUACGUCAUCUUUUAGGGUUAAGCGUCCGACUUCAGACUCCAACCUUUUGUUAGCAAAGCUAUCAAUCAGAUUCUUUCCCUUUGCGUUAGAAGAAUCAGAUGGAGUAUCCGUUCCUGCCUCAGAACUGGAACUUCCAUGAUCAUAGUCUUCCUGUUUGCUUUGAGCACCUUUUGCAAGGAAUGCAUAGAAUGCCAGCUCAAACCUUUCCACAAAGGAAAAACAAAGAACACAUCAAAAGGAACUCAAGCUGUGAUUAAUAAACCCGAGUUAGAGGCCGUCAAUGCUCCUUACCGUUUCUCUUCACUGGGUACCCACAGCUCAUCAGAGGUCAGCAAUGCAAGCAGGGUUUGAGCUGAAAGUUUUGGAAGCACCUGUCCAUGACCAUGUCAGGAAAUAGAAUAUGUAGCAGUAGGUUUGCAUUAACAAAACUGAAAAACCUUGAAAUAUACUUAAUCCUUAUAAAAUCAAAUAUACUGAGUCAUUGACAAUGGAUAGAUCCAAGAUCGUACCCAGUGCACAAGGCUCCCGCUUUACGCAAGGUCUGGGAGAGGUGAAUGUCGGCUAGCCUUACCUCCAUUUUAUGGAGAGGCUGCUCCCAAGUCUCGAACCCGAGACCUACCGCUCAUGGGCGAAGGCACUUGCCAUCGCACCAAGAGAGAAGAAAAAUUGAGAUAUGCUAUCAUAAUUAAAUAAAAUAACAGAGCUUAAGCCAUAUUUUUCUAGACUGGGCAAGGUUAAGUAUGCUAAUAUUGCAAAGAAAAACAUAUGUUCCUUCGGCAUCCACUGUUUUGUUCUUCUCUCUCAUCUUUUCUUAUGUUGUCAUGUUAUAUGAUCUCAAAGGAAAACAGAAGGAAGAAGAAAAUGUGUGCAAAACCCACAAGUGAUUACUACAAAAUAAGCACACCAUCUUUUACCUCUUUCAACUCCAUGGAACCACUUUGACAAAGGUAGCCCCAGCAAGCAUUUCUUACUCGUUCUCCAUGUAUGCCAUAAUCUUGGCUCUCUGCAAACACCUAAAAGCACAAGUAGGCAUUCUCAAUUACAAAAGAAAAUGGUAGCAUGUGGGUCAUACAUAAACAAAGAAGCGGCACAAGCAUUUCGAACCUGAUAGGCUAAGAAGUUUGAAGUCCAUAAUUCAGAUAUAAUGAAGUCUGUGCAUAUUGCACACAAAUCCUGCAUCAAAAGAACAUCAAGCCGUAACCUAAAUGCACAUAAAGGGACGGGACUUCUAGAGUGGAAAAGAAAAUAGUCACGCAAAGUAAAAGAAGAAAUCAAAACGAGAAAAUGAUACCUGAAGGUCAAGAAAAGAAGCGGCAGCCAAAACACGAAAUGCAUUGUUAUCAUUAAGCUUGGGGUGGUGACCGUACAGAUACGCCAAAGCCAUUGCAAUUGCUUCUCCGUUAACAUUCUUAUCGUCAAUAUGUAAGGUUAAAACGGGGGCACUGGCUUCUUUCCAAGGUCCAUGAAGCAUGUUCCUGCCAGACACAUUACAGUCCAGCAUAUGAAGAUUGCACAAGGUGAUUAGUAAGCACCUAAUUGCUACAUAAUUACGCGUGCAUUAUCGAAAACAAAAGUAAUUUCAUCAACUCCCCAUUGCCAAGCUCAAGCUUAAUAGUGCAAAUGCUAAUCUAGGUACUCUCCAUAUAUACAUACAUCCACAUAACUAUUCAAAUUAACAAUAAAACCCCACAAUUAUUAAUUCAACAUCAUCCAACAACGCCGAUGAAGCCGGCGAGGGGGCGAAUUCAAGUUGCAUUUUGGUAAAUUGACAAAGGGGGUUUAGGGAAUUGGGGACAACGGACCUGAAGUAGGGGCUGCGGGAGAGAAUAAGGCGGUGGAGGUGGUAGGUGGAGCCCAUGGCGUGGACGACCAUAUCGGAGAAGGCACCGGAAUUGAAGCCCUCCGUCUGUAUGUGGUCGCAGAGGGCGGUGAGGUUGCAAUCGAGCGCGCGCAGCUCGCCAGUGGACCGGUCGUUGUCAGAGUGCUGCGAGGGCUGAAUCGUCAUUUUCAUCUGCGGCCCGUACGAUCGCGCCGGCUUGGUCGGGUAUUGCGGGUCCAUGUGAGCCGCAGUACCACUGGAGUUCUUCCGAUUGCGAAGUCUAUGAGAGUGUCGAUGGGAGUGAGAGACCGGUGUUAGGCAUCAGAGAGACGGAGUUUGUUGAUGCGCUGCCGUUGUUACUUGGUGCACACGAGAAACGCGACAUGGAUGGGCGUGGGUCGGAUCCGCUUGAAUUGACCCGUUUAGCUCGCCCCGAACCAUCUUCGUAUAUUUUUCUUUCAUGGCAUGUUUACGUAGAAUAAUCGGAAUAAAGAAAGGGAAUUGAAUUCCGAUUACGGAGUAUUUCGGUGUUAAAUAAAUAUUAAGGAAUAAAAAAAGUGGUGGAGCCCACACGAAACAAGGAAUCCAAUUCCUGAAAUUGGAGGAACCAGAUUUCCUAGUUUUGUGAAGUAUUUGAAUUCCCUGAGGGCAAGGGAAUCGGAAUGCAUCUUUUAUUCCAAUUAUGCUCUCAAUUGUUUCUUAUUAUCCCAACAUUGCCCUUCAUUUGACACUCAUUAUGUCAUUUUUAAUAAAUAAAUAAAACAUAUUUUUAUAUUUUUAUAUAGAUAAUUUUAUUAUAUAAAUUUAAUUAAGAAUUUAAUUUAAUUAAUUAGUAUGAAAAUAAUUUAUUUAUGUAAGGGCAAUUUAGUCAUCAACUUAGUUUUCAUUCCGAUUGAAGUGAAUUAGUAAACAACUUAUAUGGACUCAACAUCAUUCUUGCCAUCUUUUAAUAAAUAAAUAAAACCUAUUUAUACAUGCUUAUAUAGAUUAAUUUUAUUAUAUAAAUUUAAUUAAGAAUUUAAUUUAAUUAAUUAGUAUGAAAAUAAUUUAUUUAUGGAAGGGCAAUAUAGUAAUCAACCUAGUUUUCAUUCCAAUUGAAAUGAAUUAGUAAACAACUUAUAUGGACUCAACAUCAUUCCUACUCCGAUUCCUGACAGUUUUAGUAAACAACUUCAACAGGAAUCUUAUUAUGAUUCCACCUAAUUUCAAUUCAUCCUCAAUCCAAUUCACCCUCAAUCCAAUUCCUCUCAAUUUGAUUACGGAUUAGUAAACGCGCACUCAGUAUAUUGCACAAACACCACGUGGAAGAUAUUUUUGGCAAUUCCACACCUACAAGGCUACACACACCUAUUUUAAUGUGGAUGUCAAUAUAGUAAGGGGUGUGAUAUCCACACAUCCUUUUUUACUUCUCCCACACCUUUUUGGUUUUCAGCCAUCGGAUUGGAUGAAUGGAAAAAGAUCAAUUGACAAAAAUUAACAAGGUGUAUGUGAAGUAAAAAAAGGUGUGUGGAUAGCACAUCCCUAUAGUAAUAUACCAUCUACGUCUAAAUUUUGAUUAAAAUUCACUCAUUACACAUCACGUGACACAUGGGCCUUUCAAACCAUUUUUUAAACAUUGAUGACCUAAGGUGAAAAUCAAUCAUGUUGAAGUAAACUCGUGCUAACAUAUCUUUUUUCUUUCACAAAGCUUUAAAAAAAUUAGAUUUCAAAAGAACUUGAAGUAUCAAUUACAAGGGCAAAAUUGGUUGUGCUGUAGUCUAGCCCAAAUUUGGUGAAUAAUAAUUAGUAGGUAUGUUAGACACUGCUAGUUAGGUUGAUGUAUUCAUCGGAAUUUUGAAUUCGCUUUAGAUACAGAAUCAGUGACUACAACUCAGUUAGGAAUAUGAUGAUAUGUCAUAUUUCUUAUAAUACAAAAUGUUGUCGUUUAAAGAUUUGUCUGGCUUUGCCUUGCUAUCCGGUUUAUUUUUGUUAGGAAGCUAAAACCAAAUGCCUAAUAAAAAAGGAGGUAAUGCUCUAAUGCUACGUAUCAUCCAAGUUAAAACCAAAGCAACCCACCACUAUAGAUGGUGGGUUGUUUUGUGGCCAUCUUAUGGUCAUUCGAGCUAUCACAAAAAUACUUAUAUUUUAUUAGCACUCCAUAUAUUGUUGAAUAAAUCCUUUGAAAAUCAAAUACAACAACAUCGAUCAUUAAACGGCUCUCUCUCUCUCUUUGUUUCUCUCUAGAAACCCAAAUCCACAAGCUCCAUCACCAACUUCAAGCUCAGCCACCGACCCUUACUUUUGCUCAAGGUAGGCAGUAGCCCACUACUAUUUCUUCCCUCCUCGUUCCCUCAUUCCCUUCCCUUCUCUCUCUUCUGCCUUUUCCAUCUUUUUCCUUCUCUCUCAUCUCAUCUGCUUCAUCCCCUUCCCUGCAUCCACCUCUUCUUUCUCUCCCCUUUCUAGUCUCCUCAAUUCGUUUUUAUUCCUAGUUUUCGCCUGAGUUUAUGUUAGUUUCCAUUGAGUCGAGUCUCAACUAUCCCCUGAGCUUGUCUCAUAUUUGGGUUUCAUGCCCCUUACCUGGCGUUUUCGCCUACUUUUAUGGCUUUCUGCCUUUUAAUUUUAUUUUCUCCCUCAUCCUUAGUAGUGAUACUCCAUCCCCAUCCCACCAUGUACUUGGAUGGGCAGGCUUCGAUCCGAAAUUGGAUUUUAUAUCCACUACCCUCCUUCAUUUUCCCUCAUUCAACUGGCAUGUCGGAUCUCCAUCGAGACCAAGUGUUGGGUAUUUUACAUACCCCCUUAGCCUCACUCUCUAUCCAUAUGAUAUUUUGUUUGUAUAUAUUUGCUCUAUUCUCUCAGUUCGAAGUUUGGCUUCCUCCUAGGAUGUGGCGGCGGUGGCGGUAUGACUUAUGUUGCUUGAGACUAGGGUUUUUUGUUGUUUGUUAUCGCAGCCUACGUGCCUAAGUUUGUAAGGGCCUCCCGUUGUAUCUUGGGUUGCUGUUCUCACUUUGCUUGGGCCUUUUACUUUAUCUGCUAUAGUUUAUCGGGUUCCUUUUGGGCCUUGUAUUAGUUUUUAUUGUAAUGAAAGUUUAUAUUGACAAAAAAAAAACAUUUGAAAAUAUGCAUUAAAUAACUUAUAUACCUUUUUUUUUUUAGGGAAUUGUUAUUAGCACUCCAAAUUUUCUAUAAUUAAAAAGAAAAAAUACAUUUUUAAAGAGUGUGUAAUGAGAUUUUUUAAGUGCUAAUAACAAUUCUUGUGCAGCAGUGUUCUAUUUGCAACUCAUAUGCAUCCUUUUUCAUAAUUUCUCAAGUUCCACAGGUACUUGUUGCAUUUGACUAAAUACUUGUGGAUGCAGGUAUAGAGUAUCAAAUUUGUCUCAGGUGCAAGAUAUCGAAGAAACCGAGUUAUAAUUGUAGCAUUAACUUCAGUAGCAGUUAUUCAGGAGCAUGAGUUUAGUUUCGAGAACCAUCGAUGCUUUAAUAUAGUGUUUUGCCAAUUGUUCAGGUUACUUGGUGUUGAGAAUUGAAGAUGUGUGUUGGAGUUAAUGACCCUCACUGGUGGACGCACGCCUCCCCAACCAUUAGAGGACCUUUAUUGUCUGUUACAGUAGAUGAAAUCAAACUCUUGACCUAGAGAGCAAAUUUUUUGUGUUGUAUGGCAAAUUGCCUAUGUUGGAUAUAGUUGUUGGGCGCCCAUACUGGUGAAUAACCACACAUUUUCCCUUCAUAUGAGUAUGGUCUCUUAUUUCGCAAUUCAAAAUGCUUUACAAUUUAUGUUAUAUAACUAUGUAAAGCCAUAUAUUGCGGAUUUGAUGAUGAUCAUCAUUCUAUAUGCUAUUGGGAAUUGGGAAAGUUGAUACAUUGGUCAGUUUGAUUUGGACGGUUUUUGCGAUAUAAUUGAUCGCUUACCCCGUACCCUUGGGGGUUAUUGUGUUCAACCCGUCAUGUGCGGCCCAAGACACAAGAUUUCGGGUGUCUGGGCCUUACAUGCGAGAGAGUCUUUUGUUUGGACACCUGACUAAGGGCAAAAGACAGGGGGUGGGACCUGAAAGUGGGCUAUGGUGAGCCUGCAAAUAAGAGAAGUAGGUAGGAAAAUUGCAUAAUUUGGAUGCCAAACCAUAGAAUUUCUCCUUACGUGCAAAUGUGAGAUAGGGAAACUUUUUGUUUCAAAGUCGGAGGAAUAUGUUAAUCCAACCAUCGGACUUCAGAAUUUCUCCUUACCCUAGGCCCCCCAAACAUCAAUUGCCUUUUCUCAUGAGGACUUCCAUGGUAAAAAGGACUAGGAUUAUCUCUUCUUUUCCUUCCAUCCCCUCCUCUCACAUUUUAUAUUUUAUCUUUCUCUUUCUAUAUAAAAUUAAUAAAUUAAUAUAAGAUGUUAACAUAGCUUAACCGUGACUGUUCAAAUAGGAAGGGAGGGAUGAGAAGGAAAAAAAAAAAAAAAGAAUCCUACUCCUAGUAAAAAAAAAAACAUCGACUUCAUGCCACGUAUCUUAAUACAGCAGACUCUAGUUCUUAAUACGGCAGACUCACUAGAGUAUAAUCCGUUUUGUUGAAUGUGACCGUUACAAAAGGGAAGGUCCAACGGAGCUUUCUACCGCUUUUCAAAUUUUAAAAUUAAAAAUUAAAAAGGUAAACAAACAAUUUCUUCCCCUACUUUCUUUAUCUCUGUCACACAGACCAACCCUCAUUCAUCAUCGAAACCCAGAGAUUUUCAAUCUCAAUCUCACAUCUCUUUCUCUUUCUCUUCUAUCUUCUUUGCUCCGUCACCGCGUUCGGUCUCCGAUUUCAAUGGCAAUGGCUCUCAGACCCAUCGACAAUGCUCUCCCAACCACACCGGAAAGACCCAAAAAGCAAACCAAAGUUGCUGUUCCUAUGCAAAAGCAGCAAUCCGGCCUCGUAAAUGACGAAAAUCAGGCUCCGCUUCCUGCAACCGCGGAUUUCGCCAUCGAUUACAUCUCCUCUGAGAAUCUCAAACCCAUCUCAGACCCGGAUCUCAAGAUCCAGGUAAUUCUCUCUCAUUGGAUGUCCCUUGCACGCGAAUUCGACUCCCUUCAUCUGUGUAUUAAAGUAAUUUAUUUGAAAUUUCAGAGCUUGAGUGAGGGAUUCGAAUCAAAGGAUUGGGUAAAGGUGUGUGAGUCUCUGAACAAUGUUAGGCGUUUUGCACUCCACCAUUCUGCUCUUCUGGCUCCUACUCUGUGAGUGCUUUUCUUCUUAGUUCCAACUUUCGAUUCUCUGCUGUAACAAGUCCACUAAAACGACGUCAUUUUUGUAUGUACAGAGAGAAUGUUGUAGUGGUGCUGGUGAAGGCAAUGAAGAAUCCGAGAAGUGCCUUAAUCAAGACCUCGAUUAUGGCUUCUUCCGACAUCUUCACCGCCUUUGGUGAUGGUUUACUUGACUCCGCAGCCUCUAAUGCAUUUGACCAAUUGGUGUGCACCCAAACUUUUCUUGUUUUCUUAAAUUUAGGGAUCGUUUGACAACAAUUUCGUUUUCAUUUUUUUUAUGUUCUGAUGAACGGCUUGGAUUGUUCAAUGGGUUCACAGCUGCUGCAAUUGCUGCUCAAGGCAUCUCAAGACAAACGUUUUGUGUGUGAAGAAGCAGACAGGGCACUGAGCUCAAUGGUGCAGUCCUUGACCCCUCUUCCUCUGCUUCAGAAGCUCCGAGCUUACGCUUCCCAUGGCAACCCCAGAGUCAGAGCCAAAGCUGCCGUUUCCAUCGCAUCUUGUGUCGCCAAGAUGGUAUAUACUAUGAAACCAAAAUGUUCUCUUGAGUUUUGACGUUGGACAUGCCAUUUUUCUUGUUAACCUUGUUAUGGAAAAUGGGAAUUUGGUACCGAUUUUCAGGGCCUUGAAGGAUUGAAGGAUUAUGGGCUGGUUUCUCUGGUACAAAAGGCUGCAGAUUUGUUGAAUGAUAGGCUGCCCGAGGCGAGAGAAGCAGCGCGGGGAAUUGUGAUGUCGGUAUACAAUGCCUAUACAGAGAAUGAAGAGGAGAAGCUGCGGGAAAAUGAAGAGGAGAAGCCGGAGAAGCAGGAGAUUUGGUUAAGCUUUUGCCAGUCUAAUUUGUCAACAAUUCAUGCUCAGUCCAUGGUCAAAAUUACUUCUUCUCAGUAGAAAGGUUAGAAGAAGACGGUGGAUUAGGGGUUGGGUUUUGCUGGUAGUAGAAGCUAAUAGUGGGAGUGCUAGUUUGGUUUGUGAUUCUGCUGGUAGCUUUUUAGCUGCAGUUAGAGUUUGAGAGUGCUAUGAAUUUACAUCUUCCAGCUUCGUCUAAAAGCUGUUUUUACGUAAUUUUAUGUUGAUGAAUUUCUUCGUUUAAUAAAAUUUUCGUUCUUGAUAAUAUCAAGAUAGCCGACCGACCCCACUUAGUGGGAAAAAAACUUUGUUGUUGUUGUUGUUGUUGUUGUUGUUGAUAAUAUCAGAAAUAGCGAAAUAGUUGCAGAACGGUAGUAAUUUACCAGCAGUGCAAGUAACCAAACCAACCCCUCUCCGACUGUCUCAAAGAAUAUCUUUGAGAUCUACAGGGAAGCAAGCGGGCGGUUAUAUACAGGGCGACUCAAAGACUUCACUGUAAAGAAAUUUUCAGCUGUGUUCUGGUGUCUGCGAUUAGAACGUGCCACAAUGAAAGUCAGCAAAUAAUUUCACCAAAAAUCGAAAUCAUUUCAGCUCUCUUCCCACAAUAUAUUGUCUCUCAGUACGAACAAAUACAUGGAUUCCUACAGUUGAACUAUUUCCUAUUCAUUUGAAAGAAGAGAAAUAUCACACGACAGAAAUACGAAAAUCUCUGUAACUGCAUUUCACUAUAUUUUCCUACAACGGGGUCAUUCAACGCUUCCCUUGCAUGUUACCAAAACCACGAGGAGACCUUCGCUUGAGAUCAGCAGACCCAAGCCAUCGUAAUAUCAGGAAUGUGGCAGAACUCUGAAACCAAAAGCAUUCCUGAUUGGCGGAAGAACUCUGAAAGAGGAAAAAAGUCUAAGCACUUCACUCUUGUUCAACCAGAGAGCGCAACGCUGUCUCAACUUCUUCAAAAGGUUGCCCGGCAUACAGCUGAAGCUGCCCUCUCUUCACAAAAAUCAGCUUCAUGUUAUCUGACUUUAUGGCUUCGCGAAGUUCCUGCAAAACAUAAAGUUGCUUUAUCAUCUUAACACUGAUGACUUGAAUGAAGAAAAAUGCAUGUCUAAUGGGAAAAAUUGUACUUUGAACACUUUUAAAAGUUGAAACGCCGACUCCUUUGUCCUCAUGCAAUGUUCAGCAGCUUCAGACUCAUAAAUAUUGAGUAAAAGUAUGAGUAAGUUUUGUGAAAUCAAAUUAGAAUUAUUACUUUGUUUGGUAAAGGAACAAUAUCAGCCCUGAAAUCACCCAGAUCUUCGAAAAAAGUUUCCAAUAGUAUACAGAAGUUAUUGGCAUCAGUGCGGUGUUCGAAAGCGACAGUAUAGGAAAAAUCACUCUGGCUUUGGUGCUGAGAACUGAGCUUUAAGGUAUAGAGUCCGCCUUGCCCCUCGCUACCAGAACCUCUACGGAUCAUAAUAACCUGACAUGGGAUACAUAGCAAUUUGACUGUUAGUUGGAGACAAAAAGCUUACCCAAAUACCAAAAUAAGACACAAAAAGAAGAGCUUAUUGAUCCGAUAAGUAAAACUUGUGAACGUAAUUCAUAACGGAGCAUAAAAGGGAAAAUAUACAACUAAAAUGGCAUAACUAUAGAAUGAGUGACUGAAUCAUAAAGCAUAAGAUAAAGAUUGCAAGUAUCCAUUUUAUGACAGCAUCAAUGAGUGCUUAAAGUUAAAUAGUUGGCUAAGAUGAUUUGGUCAAAUGCAACAAAGUUCAAUUGCUAAACAGGCAGCACAACUUAUAAAAAAAUGUAAAGAUAGAAAACUACGAAAGAAAAUUAAGAAAAGUUUCGGGAUAUACCAGAACAUAAGGAAGAUCCAACCACCACGGAUCAAUAUCAUUCUUUGAUCGAUUGCCACUGACUUUGUUAGCCACUGGUUCCUUUUCAGCUUCUUUGUUUUUUGAACUGCCAUUUACACUCAAUACAGCAUUAUCACCAGAUUUUAUGGUAGUUUCCUGAAUUUCUUUCUUUGAGGAAGACUUUUUCUUCCCCAACGCCCUUGAUUUUCUUGACUUUACUCCUUCAGAGGACUUCCCUCGUCUUUUCUUCUGGACGGUACCUACAAAGUUUAACAAAUUAAUAACAGAGCCAAGCUAACAACGAAGUAUGCAGUCUUUGUGCAAUUCAAAAGCUUUACCAUUUUGUGGCUCAAUAGUUCCAGCUCCUAUGUCGUUUCCGCUAUCCAUACUCCGAGUUCCUUUCUCCAAAUGGUUCCCGUCAUUUUGCAACUUGGGUUCGUCCUCUACGGUCUUGGAAACACCUUGUCCAAUAUCACUCUCUCGCUGGUUUUCACCAUUAUCCGAAUCCAACAAUUCUUUACCAUCACUACCAACACUUGCAUCUCCCGCCACUGUAUCUACACCGCCCGAACCUCUCUUUAUCCUCCUAGAUUCACCAUGCUCAUCCAAACCCCCAAACCCCUUGGGAUUGCUUUUCGCUUCGGCCUUAAACUUGACCUUUUUCUUAAACAGCAAUGUCCCAUCCUCCUCUUUAGAAUUCCCAUCUUCUACUUUCUCAUUCUUUUCCAUAUUACUCACAUAUGGACCCUGCAACUUCUCCCUUUUAGAAUUCAAACUCCUCUGCAACCUAACCAACCGCUCUCCGACCUCUUUUUCGAUGCCUAUUCUAUUCCUUGCAUCAGAAAUAUCAUCUUCAUCACCGAUACUUCCCUUCUUCAACUCCCUUUUCUCCGACUUUCGUGCUUCCCUCGCCAUUGCUCUAAUUUCCUCUAUCCUCUCGUCCAAUUGUAUCUCGUCCAAAGAAAUCACAUUGCCCAAUUCAGACCCAACAUUCGAAUACAAAGCUUUCCCUUUCGAUUUGCUUAAAGUUUUCGACUUCCCAGUUUCCUGAUCAGGAUUAUCAUCUCCCAGCAACCAAACAGUAAAAAAAGCCUGAAACAAAUAAGCCCCAACCACAUACGCCCCAAAUUUAAGGACGGACUUGGCAGAAAAUUUACCAACAAUGCCAUUUUGCUCGGGGGUCGUCACAGACACGCUCAGUUCUUCAACUGUAUCGCCUUCUGCGGCAACGACGUCGCUUCGGUCAGAGCUAAGUUCGGUAUUGGAGUCGUUCUCGGAAGGAGUUACCGGGGACUCAAUGGGAAUUACAGGCUCCGUCGGGGGUAGUUCGGGAAGGAGAGGGGUUUUGGGUGGCGGGUAGGGUCGAGUUAGGGUUUUGAGGAUUUUGGGGCGCAAAUGGUUUCUCCGUCGGGUGGGUUUUGACGGUACGGAAACGGAGGCUGAGAGGAUUGGUUUGACUGGUUUGGCGGUGGAGUGGAUUGGGUGUGCGAUGACAAGGGAGGUGGCGCAGUGCGCACCCGCCAUUGGUGGUUCAAGAAAGGAAAGGAAAGGAAAGGAAAUGCUGCUUUGGUUUGAAUUUCAGCUGGAAACUGUAUUUGGAGGGGCUGGUGCGAGAUAAUUUGCGCCAUGUGUGAAUGUUUGGGAACUUAGCAGGUGAACGGUCAAAGUCCUAAAAGCCCAUUGACUGAAGGAAUGGGUGUUGUCAUAUUGUGGGCCAAUCUUUUCUUUUGUAGUGGCCCAAUAUUUUAGUUCCUUUCAAGGUGAGCCCAUCUAAUUUCUAAACCCAAUCCACAAAGGAGUGAUUCUCUUAACUUUUAAUCUCUCUCUCAUUCUCUUUCCCGUAUUUAAAGGGUUACGAAUAAGACAUGUUACAUCUUGUGUUGACUUUUUUUAUAGAGAGAAAGACGAAGAGGAAAGUGUGAAAGAAGGGGAGGGAAGGGGAUAGAAUUAUGAGGCGAGGAGAGCGAAUGAGAUAGAAUUAGGAGAGAAGAUAAUCCCACUUAUAGACAAAAGGACGAAAAAAGAAAAAAUCGAAGAGAGAAUUCACUUUGUCAACUAAAGAUAACGUCUUUUAACAUUAAAAAAGUUGUAUCAAUAACGAGUUUGUAACCAAUUUAUUCCCUACCCUUUAGUGUGAUUAUAUCAAACUUUGAAAAUUAUGGAUUUUUUUACCACAAGAUUGAGGAUUUGGAACUCAAAAUUCUAAUAAUUUUUGUUUUGUGUUAAUCCGGUGUUAAUCUAGUUAAUGGUGAAUUCAAAAAGUUUUCUUACUGAUUACAAGAUGAAAUUCGCACGUCACUUUACGUAGUUGUUAUUAGCUCCUUUCCCUUGCUUAUUCUCUUUAAUGUAAUGGCUACAUAGUAGCUUUCCUUAAAGAGAGCAUCAAAAGAACAUUGUGAAAUGACAUGAACUUUUAUGUAGACCCGCCAAGUUUUAUGAAGUUAGUAUUAAGUGUCCAAUUACUAGUUACAACUUAGUUUGAGAUGGUUACAUGUAUUAAUGCACAUUUACCAUCUCUAAUAGGAAGCUUAUAUUUGGAGCACCCAUUGUAUAUUUUUAAGUCAAAUGUGUGAAGUUUUAUUCAGAGCAUAAAAAAAAUAGAAAGUAAAUAAAACGACAAAAAUUUUGUACCGAAUUUAACACUUUUAACUUUUGAUGCAUUAGAAUGCGGUUGUGGAUGCUGAAGUCCCAAAUUAUAGUGUAGCAAUUAACAACCCGAGAAUCCAUCAUUGGAUAAGACCUAGCAUUAAUUUGGAUGAUAAUAAUGUUUUGUCAAAUUUAUAUGGAGUAAAAGAAAUGAAUUUUGGAAACAGAGUAUAUCAAUUGCUUUGUAAUUCGUCAUAAUACGUAUGUAAGAGUAGAAAUUAUCUUUGUUUAAUCAUAAAAAUUUGACCGCUAUCCACAAAUACAUGUAUAUAUAACCCCAAAUAAAUAUGACUCUAUGUUAGUUCAAGUCCCAGAGAUGAUUCACAAGAAGCAGCUCUCGCGGCAAAACGUUUUGAGCGUUAAAGUCCCACAUCGGCCGUGAGAGAUAAUUGAGCAAGCAAACAGGCGUAUAAAAUGAACACUCCAGCUCGUUUCUGAUCAUACCUUUCUCGGCCUUUUGGCUAAGAUCAAGUGUAGUAUCUGUUCUUAUCAGUUUAAUAUCUGAUACGUGGAUCAAUGGUCCACACGAUAUUAAAUAAUUUUUCUGGGAGGAAGGUCCAUCACAGUAGCUUGCUACUGGGAUCUUCGCGUGUCGCCCUAGUGUUGCACUACUGCUAGGGCUGGCGCACUCCACCAAAACGAGUAAAAUUUCUAAAUUACUGUAUUUAUAAUUUUGAAGUUCUGUCUCAAACAAGGCGAACUUCAAUUUAUCAUUGUAAGGAAAUUUUGUCUAACUUCUGUGUGUUCAUUUGGAGUUAAAAAAUAAAUUAAUAAAUAUGAUUAUUCUCUCGGUAAUCCGUCUCAACCGCAUUAUUUUCUGUCCAAAUUUCAACUUUUCACGAAGUCGCAAAACCCAAAUGAAAAAGAAAGCAGAAAACUCAAACAAUUUCUUCUUACCAAAGAAAGGCAGGACGGCGGAUAGGAUAUGAACAUAUCGUUUGGGACCAUACUCAUUUGACCCAUCUCGUUGAACCAUUAGUCAUUUGCAGAAACCGACGCCAGAUCUGACCAGCGAGAGAGGAGAGAUUUCAGAGGAGUCGAGCGCGGUUGUUGCACAGAGGGGAUGGAGGCCAUGGUCCAUGGAGAUAUCGAACGACAAGUCCGUUGUCGUUGCCAAUGGCGGUGGUAGCCAGGCUGUUGCCAGCGGCGGCGACGGUUGCGAUGUCGCUACAGCUGAAAGAAGAAGCUAAAGAUAAAGAAUUGGAUUGUACUGAAAAAACGACGGCUUAGCGCCAUUGUCGGUGAUGGCCGCAUGCCUAAAGGCGAAGAACGAGAUUUGGGCGGCUGCGUUUGGGAAUUUUUUUGGUUUCUAGUUGGGAUAAGGGUUCCCCAUAUGUUCUGGAAGUGUUGUGGCACAAUUUGUGACGUGUCGAAUUAGGAAGUCCAAAUGGGCAAUGAAGUGGGCCCCGCGAUGGUCAUGUAGUCAAUUAAUUGAAAAUGUAACAAAUGUAUGACAUUGAAAUGAAAUUGUGAGUAUGCAUGAAAUUGUAUGUUUUAACGAAGAAAUUGUAAUGUUUUAAAUCUUAACUUUGUAGACAAAUUGAUGUGUCUGCUGCAGUAUAAAAUUCUUUAUGCUAAUUGUUCACAAAUUCAAUGGUUUAGCUAUUUAGACUCGGCGCUUUUGUAAGAAACUUUUGCUGUUUACAAGCAUUUUAGUCCCACAUCGACCAAAAACAAAGAAAGCGUGUUUUGAAAGUGAAAUCAGGCUUCUUAACAAUUUUCUCGGCCUUCAUAAUCAAAAGAAAUUGAGCAUGUUUCCCAUCUCUUCUCGAGAAACAAGUGGGUUAUGAUAAAUUGUGCUCAAAUUCAUAUGCGGCAAUUCCGUCGAUAUCUCUUCUUUAGUUGGAGGAAGAAUCCGCACGAAUCGGAUAUUUUUUGAGGAACAUAUAUAGAGAGAAUUGGUUACAUAAUGUGUGGUUGUUAAACAAGUAUCGGUUUUUUAGCAAAGUACGGAAUGCAUCGUCAAAUAUUCAAUAUGAUUCCACAAGAUCUAAUUUCGUUCAAGUUACGGAUUCUCUUACCUUUUAAGGUGAGCCCAUCUAAUUUCUAAACCUAAUCCACAAAGGAGUGAUUCUCUAACCUUUUAAUCUCUCUCUCAUUCUCUUUCCCGUAUUUAAAGGGUUACGAAUAAGACAUGUCACAUCUUGUGUUGACUUUUUUUAUAGAGAGAAAGACGAAGAGGAAAGUGUGAAAGAAGGGGAGGGAAGGGGAUAGAAUUAGGAGGCGAGGAGAGCAAAUGAGAUAGAAUUAGGAGAGAAGAUAAUCCCACUUAUAGACAAAAGGACGAAAAAAGAAAAAUCGAAGAGAGAAUUCACUUUGUCAACUAAAGAUAACGUCUUUUAACAUUAAAAAAGUUGUAUCAAUAACGAGUUUGUAACCAAUUUAUUCCCUACCCUUUAGUGUGAUUAUAUCAAACUUUGAAAAUUAUGGAUUUUUUUACCACAAGAUUGAGGAUUUGGAACUCAAAAUUCUAAUAAUUUUUGUUUUGUGUUAAUUCGGUGUUAAUCUAGUUAAUGGUGAAUUCAAAAAGUUUUCUUACUGAUUACAAGAUGAAAUUCGCACGUCACUUUACGUAGUUGUUAUUAGCUCCUUUCCCUUGCUUAUUCUCUUUAAUGUAAUGGCUACAUAGUAGCUUUCCUUAAAGAGAGCAUCAAAAGAACAUUGUGAAAUGUCAUGAACUUUUAUGUAGACCCGCCAAGUUUUAUGAAGUUAGUAUUAAGUGUCCAAUUACUAGUUACAACUUAGUUUGAGAUGGUUACAUGUAUUAAUGCACAUUUACCAUCUUUAAUAGGAAGCCUAUAUUUGGAGCACCCAUUAUAUAUUUUUAAGUAAAAAAUGAGAGGUUUUAUUCAGAGUAUAAAAAAAAUAGAAAGUGAAUAAAACGACAAAAAUUUUGUACCGAAUUUAACACUUUUAACUUUUGAUGCAUUAGAAUGCGGUUGUGGAUGCUGAAGUCCCAAAUUAUAGUGUAGCAAUUAACAACCCAAGAAUCCAUCAUUGGAUAAGACCUAGCAUUAAUUUGGAUGAUAAUAAUGUUUUGUCAAGUUUAUAUGGAGUAAAAGAAAUGAAUUUUGGAAACAGAGUAUAUCAAUUGCUUUGUAAUUUGUCAGAAUACGUAUGUAAGAGUAGAAAUUAUCUUUGUUUAAUCAUAAAAAUUUGAUCGCUAUCCACAAAUACAUGUAUAUAUAACCCCAAAUAAAUAUGGCUCUAUGUUAGUUCCAAGUCCCAGAGAUGAUUCACAAGUAGCAGCUCUCGCGGAUAAACGUUUUGAGCGUUAAAGUCCCACAUCGGCCGUGAGCAAUAAUUGAGCAAGCAAACAGGCGUAUAAAAUGAACACUCCAGCUCGUUUCUAAUCAUACCUUUCUCGGCCUUUUGGCUAAGAUCAAGUGUAGUAUCUGUUCUUAUCAGUUUAAUAUCUGAUACGUGGACCAAUGGUUCACACGAUAUUAAAUUAAUUUUUCUGGGAGGAAGGGGUCCAACACAGUAGCUUGCUACUGGGAUCUUCGCGUGUCGCCCUAGUGUUGCACUACUGCUAGGGCUGGCGCACUCCACCAAAACGAGUAAAAUUUCCAAGUUCUUGUACUUGUAAAUUUGAAGUUCCGUCUCAGACAAGGGGAUCUUCAAUUUAUUCUUGUGAUCAACAACGUUAUAUAAAAUUUCCAGUUCCGUCAUAAGCAGAGGGAAAUUUUCUCUAACUUCUGUGUGUUCAUUUGGAGUAAAAAUUAAAUUAAUAAAUAUGAUUAUUUUCUCGGUAAUCUGUCUCAACCGCAUUAUUGUGUCCGAAUUUCAACAUUUCACGAAGUCGCAAAUUGAAUUCAAAACCCAAAUUAAAAAGAAAGCAGAAAAAACCCAAACAAUUUCUUCUUACCAAAAAAAGUCGGGCGGAUAGGAUAUGAACAUAUCGUUUGGGACCAUACUCAUUUGACCCAUCUCGUUGAACCAUUAGUUAUUUGCAGACACCGACGCCAGAUCUGACCAGCGAGAGAGGAGAGAUUUCAGAGGAGUCGAGCGCGGUUGUUGCACAGAGGGGAUGGAGGCCAUGGUCCAUGGAGAUAUCGAACGACAAGCCCGUUGUCGUUGCCAAUGGCGGUGGUGGCCAGGCUGUUGCCAGCGGCGGCGACGGUUGCGAUGUCGCUACAGCUGAAAGAAGAAGAAGCUAAAGAUAAAGAAUUGGAUUGUACUGAAAAAACGACGGCUUAGCGCCAUUGUUGGUGAUGGCCGCACGCCUAAAGGCGAAGAACGAGAUUUGGGCGGCUGCGUUUGGGAUUUUUUUUGGUUUCUUGUUGGGGAUAAGGGUUCCCCAUAUGUUCCGGAAGUGUUGUGGCACAAUUUGUGACGUGUCGAAUUAGGAAGUCCAAAUGGGCAGUGAAGUGGGCCCCGCGAUGGUCAUGUAGUCAAUUAAUUGAAAAUGUUAUGACAUUGAAAUGAAAUUGUGAGUAUGCAUGAAAUUGUAUGUUUUAACGAAGAAAUUGUAAUGUUUUAAGUCUUAACGUUGUAGACAAAUUAAUGUGUCUGUUGCAGUAUAAAAUUCUUUAUGCUAAUUGUUCACAAAUUCAAUGGUUUAGCCAUUUAGACUCGGCGCUUUUGUAAGAAACUUUUGCUGUUUACAAGCAUUUUAGUCCCACAUCGACCAAAAACAAAGAAAGCGUGUAUUGAAAGUGAAAUCAGGCUUCUUAACAAUUUUCUCGGCCUUCGUAAUCAAAAGAAAUUGGGUAUGUUUCCCAUAUCUUCUCGAGAAACAAGUGGGCUACGCAAAAUUAUGCUCAAUUUCAUAUAUGCGUCAAUUCCGUCGAGAUCUCUUCUUUAGUUGGGGGACGAAUCCGCACGAAUUGGAUAUUUUUGAGGAACAUAUCUAGAGAGAAUUGGUUACAUAAUGUGUGGUUGUUAAACAAGUAUCGGUUUUUUAGCAAGAUACGGAAUGCAUCGUCCAAUAUUCAAUAUGAUUCCACAAGAUUCUAAUUUCAUUCAAGUAACGGAUUCUAGCCAAGGUCAAGUGGACCGCCUGACCAAUUGAUUGGUGACAACUUGUUAUUGAGAAGUUUGGUAGAACGAUGUAAGUGGAUGACGAGGAUGAUUGAUCAUCAAAAUCUGAUGUUGCCAUUGCCAAGUGCAAAACUUACGAGGGCUAAGCUAAUUAUCUUGACUUGAAGAUUAAAGAUAUGGAAAAAUGAAUGAUAGUUUUGAUAUGGAUUAAUAAUUGUUACAUCUAUGUAAAAGCUAGAGUGUAUAUAUUUAAUUUUGAUUUCUUUACACUAAUGACAAUUUUUAAAAUUAGUAUUUUUAAUAACGCGCCUAAGCUGUUUCGGAAGCAAGGCGGCCAUAAAAACAUCUCUACUAAGUGGGAGUAGGCUUAAACUCGUCUAGACAUGGUCGAGGCAUGCCUGACACGUUCGACCGGCGUCUCUCUAUUUAAAGGUUGCCUAAAUAUGGAUUUUUAUCAUUUGAAAUCUGAAAGUUUUAGUUGCAAAGCCAUUGCAAUUUGAAGAAGACAACCUUGUUUAGAUUGAUUUCUUUUGCUAAUUUUUCAUUUUCUCUACUAUUUUUUGUUUUCUUUAACUUUUUUUCUCUUUAAACUGACCCACCGAUUGUUGUUUUUCAGCUGUCCAACAUAUUCUUUCAGUACAUUCUCUCAUCACAUUUCUAUAAAAGCAUCUUACAUCUUUAUAUUAUUUUUUCUUAAAAACGUGAUUGGCCAACAGGAAAAAAAAGAGAGCAUCUUUUUACUUUUAUUAUUCUUUUUGUAAUGUUAAAUAUUAAAUACUAGUUUCUUAAAUGUUAUAUUAUCCUUGUUUUUCUUACCAAAUAAUGUGUUUGCACUUUAACAUACACCCCAGUAUCUUACCGAAAGAACAAAUUCUACCUGUGAACAUAGAUUUUAUGGUGUGAAUUGAGUUUUAUAAAACAUGCAAGUUAUGUUAAAUUUCGUUUGGUAAUACCUUUUUUUUCUUUUUUUUGGUGAACAAACAGGCCACUUAGUAAAUAAAUAAAUUUUGAAUAGAAAUCCAUACUAUUAAGAAAAUAUAUAAACAAAUAAAUGAAACGGGUUGAGCCCCGUUUCUUUGGCGGGUCGGAACCGGAAAAAACAAACGGCUGCAAGGUUUUGGCUGGUUUUAUCCUCAUUCGCAUGGUGUUUCCCUCUUUCUGCUAACACUUCAGUGGUAGUCACAGUCCCCAGAAAAGGCGAAGAAGCUGCUCUUCCAAUGAACUUCAAAUCCUUCGCCGCCCACUCUUUGGCGCUCCAACCCAGGGAGGCCGCCAUGGCUGCGAUUCAAACCUCCCCCUACCGGGUAUACACACUCACACGAGAAAUAUAUCUGUAUUGGAUAUACACGCGCACACCAGCACUUAUUUUGAACUCACAGUUGAGUGUUCACUUUCUGUUUGGUUCCCGAGAAAAUGUUAGGAAAGACUAGAAACACUUGGAAGUUUCGGGAGGGCCUUAAAAUUGUUCUGCUUUCUGUUUGAGAUUUCGAGCUUCGUCUUCUUCCUACAUUUGUCCCAUGGUUUCUGGGAAAAGGAACGCAGGUUUCAACUGUUUGAAGAACGUUUUGGGUUGCUUUUUUAAAUUUGUGAUGAUUUUCAAAGUUGCGAUUUUUGCUUUUUUAAAUUUGUGGUGAAGUGAUGAUGUACUUGAAUUUGGAAUUUCAGUUUGAGUUUACUAAAGUGGAUUACAAUUCGGUUUCAUGUGUCUGCAUAAUGUUGCGAUUUUUAUCGGCAUGUGAGAGUAUGAGGCAUUGUUAGGCUUUUUUUAUUUUGGCGCAUCAGUUGCUUGAUGGAAUGUCACACAGAGACUUUCGAUGGCGUUCUCUAUGGUCGGAGUUUUGAGUGUUUUUUUUUCUUUAAUUCGGUACCAGAUUGAGAUAGAACAAAUAGAAAUUACGAAAUGUAUGCGGUCUCUUGUUUAUUGUAAGUGAAAUUCAAAAGUGAGAGAGCUGACAGAAUUGAUUUUUCAAGAUUUGGAAACUGGCAUUAUUUUUUUCUUUCUAUUUUACAAAGUGCAAAGGGAACUCUAUAAAUGCUCUUAACUUCUAAUUGGAAUUCGACAACCAAACCGAAUCACAAUGAUGGUAAUAACCAACUGUGAACAAAUUGUACCUUACUAUUAACAAAUAAAUUUAGAUUCCCUUCCACAGUUCUGAAUUGUUCAGUUUCUUUUCUUCUUCUGAACUUCUUUGGACAUAAUUUUUCUUGAAAUAAAUGGCUUGAUUCAUGAUUGAGUUCAAUUUCUCAUUUAGACACUAGAUUUGUAUCUCAUUUAACUCCAUCUUAAAUCUUCUUAAUAUUUUCUAAUAAACAGAACUGACAAAUUGUGUUGUACAUGGAUCAGGUUCUGUCGCCAAGAACUUGCUCAUCCUUUAGGAGCACAGCUUCUGUUGGCUUAUUUUAUUUCAGAGAUAGGUCUUCAGUUAAAGUAUUCUCCCUCUUUAACAUCGCACACUAUUCUACGUAUUCCAAUGACGAGUUUGGUUCGUCCUCAAAGCGAAGAUCUCGAGGACCUGUUAUGGCCGCAAAGAAAGUAGCUGAAGGUGUUUUUCUGUGUUCUGUGUUAUUAUUCUUCUUUCAAAUUUGGUGCUUGUAGCGUUGAUCUGUCACACGAUUUCUAGAGAAGUCCUUUUGAAGUAUUUGUAAUUUUUGUCUGAAAACCAAACGCAAUAUUCCUUUUAUUCUUCUCCUAAUUAUUUGGGUUGAUUGUUGUUGUUUAGGGAGAAAGCAAGAAGAGGGAAAAUACAAGCACACAGUUGAGCUGCCAAAGACAUCAUUUAGCAUGAGAGCGAACUCUUUAAUGCGAGAGCCUGAAAUCCAAAAAAUAUGGGAUGACAAUCAAGUGUUCAAAAGAGUUAUUGGUAAAAAUACAGGGGUGAGUUUCAUACCAUGCCUUAGAUUUAGGUAUCUGUGACCUGGCGUGACUUAUUGGCAGACUUUUGCUUUCUUGGUCAGGAAAAUUUCAUUCUUCACGAUGGUCCUCCAUAUGCCAAUGGAGAUCUUCACAUAGGCCAUGCUUUAAAUAAGAUUUUAAAGGAUUUUAUCAAUCGUUACAAGGUAUUUAUUCCUCCUGUACUUAUCCAUUCACUAUGAUAUUUUUACACAUAUUUGACAUUCAUUUUCAGCUGUGACUGUGAGUGAGGUAAUUUGGAUAGAAAUUACUUAGGAUUGACCAGUUUGGCUUGAUUUGUCUUUAUUGAGAGUGACCAAUCAAUCAAACAGUUGGACCACUCACAAACAAAGGUUUCCCUUGAAAACAACUUUGAAACUGAAAAGUGUUGGUAAACCAAGUUUUAAUUAAUUAAAAAGGAUUGUUCCAGAUCACCAAUUGCUUACUAGCUUUUCGUAUACAUGCUUGGCCAAUGUUAAUAUUCUAGCACAUAUCUUAUAUGUUCCAAAAUGAAUUGAACGCUUGCACGAGAAUUUUAGCUCUCAUUUGAAGAACAUGGUGAUAUCUUGAUUUCAUUUGUUUCUGCAGUUCUUUUAAGUAUCAGAAUAGGUAUAACAUUACAACUUUGGAUGCUGGUUAAGAAAAUAAAAAAGCAUGAGAGUUUCAUGCUGCCUUACAGUUAUUUAUUCAACUAACAUUUUGACAAACUCUUCUCAUAACAUACUAAAAUAAAUAAACAAAACAGCUUUAGUUACAUAAACCCAGACCCUAUCCUCUUUAUACAUGCAAACUAAGCUACAUUUGAUUGGCUGUCAAAGCUCAAUGACCCUUUCACAAAAAUAAGUAAAGUUCAUUCCUGUAUUCUUUUUCUGUGGGCAGCUUCUUCAAAAUUAUAAGGUUCAUUAUGUGCCUGGUUGGGAUUGUCAUGGCUUACCAAUUGAGUUGAAAGGCAAGUAAUGUUUCGAUCAUAUUCAUUUAUGUCUCAUGAAAACCACUUUCAGAGGGAAAAUAAGUUGAAGGGUUCUGUUGAAUCCUCUCAGUUUUCCUAAUGUAGCCUUAAUUGCUAGAAAUCAAGGUUUUUAUUUUUUUAAUUAAUUUUUUUUAUUGAGAAGUAGAAAUCCAGUUUGAGUACAUUAGGUUUAUUUUCCUGGGUGAAUGUGCUGAUUAACUUGGGCAUCAUUUCGAUCAUUUCAGUUCUGCAAUCACUUGAUCAAGCUGCUCGAAAGGAUCUUACACCAAUAAAGUUGAGAGCAAAGGCAGCUAAAUUUGCCAAGCAAACUGUUAAAACUCAGAUGGAAUCAUUUAAGGUAAAUACCCUUUAUCGUCUCUCACAUUAACUGUUUGUUUCUUGGCUCUAUAAGAGUGAUUCUUUGCAGAUUAUUUUCUUGACCCUUUAGGCUUAAUUUGCAAUUUAAUUAUGUUGAAUCCACUGCUUGGAAUAGUCUUGAACAUUGAUUGUUUCAUCUGAUUGCAGCGUUAUGGAGUGUGGGCAGACUGGAAUAAUCCUUACCUAACUCUUGAUCCAGAAUAUGAAGCUGCUCAGGUAGUUACAAUGUUCAUGAUUUAUUUGUAGACAAUUUAAAGUUUUAAACUGAAUGUAACCUCUAGAAGAUGGUCAACAACCUAUACUGUGGUAAAAAAAUGUCUACUAAUGGACUUCAGAUAGCAUUCUUUUUUGUCUAACAAACAUUAAAAGGAGAAAUUAAGAGGCCUAAACUUGCUCAUCAUUCUGUUUAAGGAUGUUGAUCUUGUAUGUGGUUGAGUCAGUACACGUUUGUCUCAUUUGUGUCGUAUCAUUUCCUAGAUAGAAGUAUUUGGCCAGAUGGUCCUUCAAGGUUUCAUCUACAGAGGCAGGAAACCAGUUCACUGGAGCCCCUCAUCACGAACUGCUCUUGCAGAGGCUGAGUUGGAGGUAAAUUUUUUUCUGCUUAAUGUAAGUAUAUAGAAAAUGUCACUGCUAUGACAUGUGCAGUUUGUUACUCUGUGGAGCUUCUGAACAGUUCUGAAUUCUGACCAGGCUUAGAUUGUGCUCUAUCUCAUGUUCACGUCUAUGUAUAAAUGUGCUUUAUUUAUCCAGAGAAAACGGUUCAUAUGGCCUUCAAGAUUUUCCAGUUAAUUAAUAUUAUAGACCUGGUACAGAAUCAUAGAUUCCUUCAUGUUUUCCUUUCAUAAUGUUUUUUCCAUCCUUCUGUAAAAUGCUGUCACUUUCUUGUGAUGCUUUUGUAAAAGGAUGUCAAUUUUCAUGUAUUAUCUCAUUUUUCUUUCAUACAUUGUAUUGGUAUAGUUCCUAUUUACUUGACUGAAACUUUUAUUUGCAGUAUCCAGAGGGGCAUGUUUCGAGAAGCAUAUAUGCCAUUUUCAAAUUGGUCAGUGCCUCUCCAACUUCAGGUGGCUUAUUAAAUGAGUAUUUCCCAGAUGUGUGCUUGGCCAUUUGGACAACAACUCCCUGGACUAUUCCAGCCAAUGCUGGUGAGUGCCUAUUCCAAAAAUCUAAAUUAUUGGUAGCAGCAUAUUACUUCAGUAUUUUUGUACAGUUUUUACUCGUUAUAUUAGUCUUUUUCGUUUGUAUGGAUCUCGAGGUGAUAACAGCAUACUAAACCAUAGUAUUUGGUUAAACUCAUCUAUGCUUAUAAUAUCCAUCUCUAUUCUUUACAAUAAGCUGUUUACUGAAGCUGCCUGUAGUUAUUCUGCUAAAAUUUUCUUCAGCCUAGAUUUUGCAAAAGAAACUUCUUGAUCUUAAGUUGUUAUUAGUCAGUCAUCUUUGUUCUUAAUCUGUUUUAUGCCUUGAAUAGAAAUAGUGUCAACUGUUUGUAAUUAAGCAUUAGCUUGAUUUGGAAAUUUGGAUGAACUGACUUGGAAGAGAAUGUACCAUUAAAAUCUUGGCCUCUUCUCACUUGUAAAUUGUAAUAUAACUUGCUACACAGUUAUUUAUAAUUAAACAUCAGCUUGAUUUGGAAAUUUGGAUGAACUGACUUUGAAAAGAUGUACCAUUAAAAUCUUUGCCUCUUCUCACUUGUAAUAUAACUUGGUACACAGUUAUGGAUUCUCAUCUUGCUGGUAAUUGGUGUUAAUUAAUAUGUCUUUUCCUACAUAAUUAAGCAUUCCCACUUGUAGAUAUGACAUAUGAGCACCUUCCUUGGUCAUUUAAGUAAUAAUUUUACUGUCCCUGUUUCAUUUCACAGCGGUGGCUGUGAAUGCCAAGCUUUUAUAUGCCAUCGUUGAAGUACAGUCACUCCCAGAAGAUUCUUUAUCUGAUGGAAAUAAAAAGGGAAGGUCUGGAAAUCUUUUGAAGGAAGAAAAGAAGCCUUUCCUUAUUGUUGCUUCAGAUCUUGUGCCAGCGUUAGAAUCAAAAUGGGGUGUGAAGCUUGUUGUUAGGAAAAGGGUGUCGGGUUCAGAUCUUGAAAACUGCAGGUUAUGGAUUUAAAAUGAUACCUACGAAGAGAUGUAUUUAUUUAACAUAAUUACCUCCCUUUUUUAAUCACGGAUGAAACUGAAAACUAUUGACUGAGGUGUGAUUUCUAAUUUUCAUUUCAGGUAUGUCCAUCCGGUUUUUAAUAGGGAAUGCCCCGUUGUCAUUGGAGGAGAUUAUAUUACAACAGAAUCAGGAACAGGACUGGUCCAUACAGCUCCUGGACAUGGCCAGGAGGAUUAUGUCACUGGCCAGAAGUACGGACUACCUAUGCUUUCUCCUGUAGAUGAUGAUGGAAGGUUCACUGAAGAAGCUGGAAAGUUUUGUGGGCUUGAUGUACUUGCUGAUGGUAAUAUUGCUGUCAUGAAAUACUUGGAUGAACAUUUAUCAAUUAUCAUGGAAGAAUCCUACCGUAAGUUCUUUCUUUCCCUUGAGCAUCAUAAGGGAACUUUCCUAUUAUUUUUUCUUUCGGGUUAUUGCAAGCUGAGUCAGUGACAAGCUCUUCCUUCUGUUAUGCAGAGCAUAAGUAUCCAUAUGACUGGAGAACAAAAAAACCCACAAUAUUUAGGGCAACUGAGCAAUGGUUUGCUUCGGUAGAAGGGUUUCGUGAGGCUGUUAUGGAUGCAAUUGGUCAUGUAAAAUGGAUUCCACCUAAGGUAUUCGUGGGGACGGCAUAAUGGGCUAGUCUUGUAUGACUUUAUUUAUUGUAUGCAUAAUAAGGUCAUUUUAGUUAUCUCGGGCUCUUACAUAGUUAUUGUGCCCUUUGCCAGCUUGUUCUUGCUGUUCAGUGUUGCUUCAUCAUCUAGCAGAAUUUGAAUCCUUGUUUUUGCAGUGUUUCCGAGUACUAUAUGACAUCUUCAACUGCAUUUCCUUCACUCAUACUUAGCACAAGUCCCAAUUCGCCUUCAUUAAACUUAAUAAGCGGUUCAGUUCAGCCUGCCUAGAUGGAAAAUGUGCUUGGAAUUGUGAAGUUUAUGUAUUAUGUUUUCCUAGGAGUUUUACUGAUUUAGCAGUUUUAGAUUUAGUCAUUAUUUAUAGGUCUGGAUUUACAUUAGUUUGAAUGCUAUUAUUCAGGCAGAAAACAGAAUUUCUGCAAUGACUUCCAGCCGCUCUGAUUGGUGUAUAUCGCGGCAAAGGACAUGGGGUGUUCCAAUUCCAGUCUUUUAUCAUGUGGAGUCAAGGGAACCUCUGAUGAAUGAAGAGACUAUUGAGCAUAUCAAGUGUAAGAGCCAGUUAGAUUUACACUUCCUCUUUCUGUCUACUUAUUUCCAAAUAUUAUACUUAUUUCCAAAUAUUAGUGUCUAAUUAAGAUCUUAUAGAAAUUAAUAUUUGCUUUAAUUUUGAGCAUCAGUUGUGAAUAUUUCCAACUGCAUAUGAGAUGAGGGUUUUCUCACUUUUUCUAAUGCAUGGUGUCUGUCUGGCACACACAGGUGUGUAUUUGUGUGCUUUUAGUACAUAUAAGAACUAAGAAGAUAGAUCAAUGAAUGAAUAUCCAAUAUACAAAGACUGCUCGAAUGAUUAGCCUACUUUUAAUUGUUUUAAAGAUGAAUGGUGUAUUUAAUAGGUUAAAUUUUGAUUCUUUCAGUCCUCUGUUUUUGCAGCGAUAAUAUCUGAAAAGGGUAGUGAUGCGUGGUGGUACAUGAAGGUCGAGGAUCUUCUCCCUGAUAAAUAUCGUGAUAAAGCAUCUGAUUAUGAAAAGGGGACUGAUACAAUGGAUGUAUGGUUUGAUUCAGGUAUUGAUGUAGUUUUUAUUUAACCUUGUCAGCUCUACCUUGUGCUGCUAUAUAAGAAUAUUCUCUAUUACUUGGUAAUGGCAUGAAUAUAGAUAGAUAAUUUCAUCAUUGAUGAUUUUCCCUUACAGAAGGGUAGUCUGGAAAUAUCUCAUUUUGCAUCUCAAUCCAUUUGUAUCUUCGUGGUCAUUUUUAUCACAUUGAUAUAUGCAACUUCACUUGUUAGGUUGAAACAUAUAGUGGUUCGUUGUUGGUUCUUUUGUAUAGUUGCCUUGCCUAUACCAGAACAUAAUUUUUUCUCGGUCAAAUAUUCCAGAACAUAAUUGAACUUUGUCUUUUCGCUUACCAUAUUAUUUAUUGGGAUCAGUCGGUGUUUACUACUUUGGAUGCGUGUACAUAACUGCAUCUAACCUUUUCAGUUCUGUAAUUUAAUCUUUUAUGUUUCUAUACAUGUAUUUAAGUAAAUGGUUAAGUUCUAUUUCAGGCUCUUCUUGGGCUGCAGUGUUGGGGAAAAGAAAUAGCCAUAGUCUUCCUGCAGAUUUGUACCUUGAGGGUAUGGAUCAGCAUCGUGGGUGGUUCCAAAGUUCUUUGCUAACAAGUGUUGCUACUAAAGGUAAUGAGAAUCUGGACAUGUUCAUUUAUCCUCACUAUGCAUUAUAACAUUGAAACUGGUUUUCUUAAUAAUAAUUAAUAACCAAUAAAACAGAGGGUUGAUUUUUAUUUUUUAAAUUUUAUUUUGUGUAAAUAGCACAUUUUUGCAUUACUCCUCGUGUUUGAAAUGUGAUUAAUUUUGGGGAGGUGUCAUAUACACAUUUUCGAUGGAAGUCUUCUUCUUUAUUUAAGACAAUUAAACAUCCUGUGGUUCCCUUCACCCAUACCUGAUGUAGGAUAAAUAUGUUUAAAAAGGCCGCAUUAAUCCUUCCAUUGCAUUAUCUUCAUACCCUUGACUAUGAGUAUUGGCAUCAUAGCUUAAUAAAAAUAGUACAUUGAGAAUGCAAACCAGACUUAGAUUGGUUGCCAGGUAAGAUCUUUGGAAUUAAAUCUUGACCGCUGCAUUGUAGUGAUUAUAAUGUAGUCUAGUCUCUAACUACAGUAGUUGAACGCUGAGGGAAAUGGUAUGUAAUUUAAAUAGUUUCAGCAAUGCUAGUAUAUAAUUGUUUAUGUCCAGGUGUUCAUUCUUCUGAUUUUAAGCCACAGAGGCUAUUUUCAUUUUAGAGAGAAGUAUUUGUUUCAAACAGUGACACUGCUUGAAUCUGUUACUUUGCUUUGAUACAGGAAAGGCUCCAUAUUCCAGUGUUAUAACACAUGGAUUUGUAUUGGAUGAGAAAGGUUUGAAAAUGAGCAAAUCUUUGGGUAAUGUAGUAGAUCCACGGACUGUGAUUGAAGGAGGGAAGAACCAAAAGGUAAGUAAUUGUUGUGAAGUAAAUUUAAACCUACUCAAUUACCAUCUGAAUCAAUCUUCAACAGUAUCUGCAUACUAAAGUCUUCAUUUCUCUGCUGGCAGGAUGGCUAUGGAGCGGAUGUCCUGCGUCUUUGGGUUUCUAGUGUAGAUUAUACAGGCGAUGUUACAAUCGGCCCUCAAAUUCUCCGUCAAAUGUCAGAUAUUUAUAGGAAGACGCGAGGAACAUUGAGAUACCUUUUGGGAAAUCUUCAUGAUUGGAAUGUAUGUUCAACUUUCACAAUCAGUGCUUUUGAAUUCAGAUGUCUGACCCUAUAAAAAAUUCUACAUGUUUAGUCAUCUUAAGAAUCCCAGCUUUACUACCUCUUGCUGGAUAACUAUCUCUUAAUCCCAAAUACACAGAUUGGUGCACAUGCUCACAAAGGUAUAAAAUAUCGAUGAUAUCGGAAAUAUCGGUAGUCCAAAAACACGGAAAUUUUGAUGGAAAUAUCGGGAUAUUAUCGAUAUCGAUAAUAAUUGAAUAAAAACCACGGAAAUUGUAAGAAAAACUUGGAAAUUUUUAUUGAAACUUUGCAGGAUGUUUAUUUAGUCAAUUAUCUAUUAGUUUAUCACAAAAAAUUGGAAGGAAAUGCAUUGCAUGAUGGAUUUAACUGAUUUAAGUUGAUUAUAUAGCGAGCUGGCAAACAUUGUGAGUGUAGAAAAUAUGUAGUAAUUAAUGAAAGAAGUUUAAACACACCAUAAUCAUUUAUAUAUAAUGAAUUAGUACAAUAUUUUACACUUUAUACAUUGCAUGGUAAGAUACAUAAGUGACUUAGUACCACAUAGAGUUCCUAUCAAGGUCUAAAAUAUCGAUGAUAUCGGAAAUGUCGGUAGUCCAAAAACACGGAAAUUUCGAUGGAAAUAUCGGGAUAAUAUCGAUAUUUUAAACCUUGCUCACAACUCAUGUAUAAAACCUGUUUAUUGCUUCUUUUUGUAAGUCUAUGCUGCAAGUGACAAUGCUGUUUCAGGCAGUUUUAUCUCUUGGUCUGUUGUUUUCACUUAUACAUAACUACAUCAUUUUGGCAGGCUGAUAGUGCUAUCUCUUACCACGAUCUUCCCAUGAUUGAUCAGUACGCACUGUUUCAGCUUGAAAUUUUUGUGAAAAACAGUAAAGAGUGCUACGAAAACUAUCAGUUCUUUAAGAUAUUUCAGGUGAACUUUCUCUUAAGCCUUUUGAUUUGAUUUAGUUAUGUUUCUGUUUAAAGUGUAUAGUUUUAUGGUCAAUUAAAUGAUAGCAUUGCAUGUGAGGCUUUGUUUCUCGAAAUGGCUCCUAGAAAUAUAUGUUCACGGAUGUAGCAACUUUGGAUUAUCUUUCGGUUGCCAUUAUGGCUGACCAAAGUUGAGUACUUUGUACAUAAACCAAAUAAUAGUUGAAGAAAAGAGUGUAAAUGUAUGGUGGGUCUUACAUCCCCUUUGAAAUAAAUCUUACCAUUGUUGUUUUCAUACUGCGAUGGCAAUCUGAGCCAUUGUAAAAAUCAUUUAAAAAUGCAUAGCAAUAGUUGCCAUUAGUUGGUACUGAAUCCUGAUUGUAUGUCAACUUAGCCCCCUUAAUUUAGCUGGAAUUCCAUGCAACUAUCUAAUUAGCUUUCUUCAUAUUCUCAGAUCAUACAGCGGUUUGUUGUCGUUGACCUGUCAAAUUUCUAUUUUGAUGUCGCCAAAGAUCGGCUUUAUGUUGGGUAAUUCACCUCCUGCUCUAUCUACCAGUUUCUAGGCAUCUGCAUAACUCUUGUACCUUCCAUUGAUCUGUCACCCUCGUGAUGUUCAUAUGCUUUUACAUUGCAAGUCUUCAUUUUCUAGAAUUAGAGAUGAAGCAUAGUUUAUCAUUUCAGGGGUACAAGUAGUUUUACUAGAAGAAGUUGUCAAACAGUUCUUGCAGCACUUCUCCUCUCUGUAGUGAGAGUGAUUGCUCCGAUAUUACCUCAUUUGGCUGAAGAUGUAUGGCAAAACCUUCCGUUCCAGUACACUGACGAUGAUGGCUCUGCUGCCAAAUUUGUUUUUGAAUCAAGAUGGCCAGCUUUGAACAACACAUGGCUCUCUCUUUCGAAAGAGGAAACUAAUUUCUGGGAAAAGGUUCUUGAGGUAAUCACCAUUCUGUUUAAUGUUCUUCACACAUUAGUACAAUUUGGGGUUUGUGCAGUCCAUGUCCUUGUGACAUAUUACAACUGAGUUGUUUAAGGGAAAACCUUGGAAAAUUUAAACUCCAGUUUCUUAUUGGUUGUCAGUAAAAAAAUUAACGAUCUCAUAAACUUGAUGCUCUUGAAUCUCAUCGUCUAUUGUUCCUCUCUAAGCCAAAAUUAACGAUAACAUACACUUGAUGCUCUUGGUUGUCUGGUUUUGACAUUUCGUUCUUGUUUACUUUCUUUUCCUGACAGGUUUUAUUCACCUGUAAAAUAAUCAGAUAAAUCUAGAUUCUAAUGUUAGAAGUGCUCUUAGAACAAUGAAAGAAAUGCCACGGUUGAUAUCUGUCUCUGAUGUAUUUCACUUGUUUCUAAUGCGUAUGCACUUGUGAGCAGUUGAGAACUGAGGUGAACAAAGUCCUGGAGGUUGCUCGUACGGAAAAGCUAAUUGGCUCUAGUUUAGAUGCCAAGGUCUACCUUCACACUUCGGAUUCCGGUCUGGCCUCUAGAUUAGGUGAAAUGUCUGAGGCCAACAACGACGCAGACACACUGCAUCGCAUAUUCAUAACAUCUCAGGUAAGUUCAAAUUCCUACUCGCUGGUUCACCUGGUAGCUAAACAGACAUGAUCCGCCCUCUGAUCACUAUUUACAUUUGUUUAUAUGAAUGCAGGCAGAGGUUCUUCCUUCGUUGGAAGAUGAGCUGAUUGCGAACAUACCUCACAAAGGAGAAUACCUCAUCGAAGAAAACGUCAAAGUCUGGAUCGGAGUGUCUCGUGCCGAGGGCUUAAAGUGCGAAAGAUGCUGGAAUUAUUCACCUCAAGUUGGUUCCUUUCCAGAGCACAGCACGCUUUGCGGCCGCUGCUAUAAUGUGGUAAAUGUUCAACAAUCUCCAUCUCCAGCUGUAGCUGUGGUCAGUUGAGAUUCCGUCAGUUCGACAUUUGCUCCGAUUCCCUUCCUUUCUGGGUUGAGCAGACAAGCGUAGAGCAUAUUGCUUAGAGCUGCAUUUGUACAGACUACAGAGCAUCAUUGAAGGUUUUGACGAAUAUUUCAAUCAAUACAAUAAUCCAAGUGUUGUACGGAAAAUCCCUCCAUUUUUUAGGAAACUACAAGGUCCAACUACAAUGGUACUUUAAUGCAGGAUCUAACCGUUGAUUUUUCGGACCAAUCACAAGUAUUAUAUUGACAGUGAAGAGCACGCCGAGAGUUUAACCGGACAAGGACUGGGAUUGGGUUUUCCUUUUUUCGGGAACUAACCCCAAUCUAAGUUGGGUCAAACUAGGUGACUGAUUAAUUAGCCUUCUAAAAUACUAGAACAUACGUGUCACGAUCUUAAAGGUCAACUGAAGUCAACAAUCGAGGCAUUUUCGUUAUUUUCCACCUUUGAGAAUUAAAUUAUAUUAAAAUCAGGAACGGUAGUAACAUCUACUCUUUUGAGAAGGAAAAUGCUAGAAAGACCAUAUUUUUAUACCAAAUUUGUGUAUCAUCUGACGUGGUAAAUGAUGUGUAUAUAUAUGCCACGUUAAUUAAUAAAUUUUUCUGACUGGAUGUCGACUGUACACAUCACUUACCUCAAGAGAUAUUGCGGGAAUAUAGUAAAUAUGUGGUCUUCCUAGCCGUGACAAGCUUCAGUUUUAUAAUGAAUUUUAUCAGUCCACGUAAGACUGAAUCUGGGACGCACCUUGUAAUGUCAUAAGAUAGUUGUCUAAAAAUAAACAGUACAUUUCUUUGCAAAGGAUCACCAUCUCAAGUUGGUUCCUUUCCAGAGCACAGCACGCUUUGCAGCCGCUGCUAUAAUAUAUGGUUGAUGUUCAACAAUCUCCAUCUCCAGCUGUAGCUGCGGUCAGUCGAGAUUCCGUCGGUUCGACAUUUGCUCCGAUUUGUUUCUGGGUUGAGCAGACUAGUGGCUUUUGUACAGCACAUUGCUUAGAGCUGCAUUUGUACAGAGCAUCAAUUGAAGAUUUUGACGAAUAUUUCAACCAAUACAAUAAUCCAAGUGUUGUACAUAGGGUCCAACUAGAAUGGUACGCUACGUUCCAUGCAAGAUUUGACCCGUCAGAUCUCUAUAUGCAAAAUCUAACCGUUAAUUUCUCGAACCAACAGUGGUACAUACCAUGAAUUCUUUGUUUUACUGUGUAAUGCAAAGGGACAUCGAAUCUAUCAACCUAACAUUGCAUAACAUUCAGGGAGUCAACCCUAUAGGAAAACUGAAGACAGUACUUUCCAUGGAUCAUCAAUGCAAGACAACCGGGUGGCCAUGUAGCAACCCUAAACCCUACAGGGUAAAACUGCCUGAGUCGAUGACCUAACGUUGAACAACGUUCAUGGAAGCAACCCUAGUGGGCGGAGGAACAAGGCUUAUCACAGGUGGUCCGAGCCCUCAACUCAUUUCUCAAAAUGUAAGACAUUCGGGUACACUCGCAACGGAGUCUUAUUGAUAAGCUGGUGAAAUCAAGAUAAAAUUGCAUAAAUAUGCUGCACAAGCCACUCAAGUGAAUACCUAAUUUACAGGGGUUAAACCCUAGGACAUGGAGGAAGUGAGAGACCAGAGUUAAACGGGAAGUGGUGGACGACUAACAGGGAACCCUAGCACUUGCUGGAGUAAAACAGUUUAUGUUACAAACAAACAGAGAUCAAAUGUUCUUCCAAGCCCCCGCGGAUUUGGCAAAUUCUUCCAGUAAGAUCUUUGAGCCUGAAGUCGGUGAGGGUUGUUGUGGAAUAAAUUCAGAAUCGUCCAAAUCCUGGGAGUGAAUGGGUAUAAUGUAAGAACACAAACCAAGUCAUUAUGCUUUGAACCGAAAAACAAUAAUUCAGAUAUUCAGAAGGAUAGGAUCCAGUUGACGGUGAUAGCCCUUACCUGUGUCUGUAUUUGCUGAUGUGGUUGCUGAUCUUGGGCAAUUGUGCAGGCUUGCGGUUGCGACAUUCUAUAGUAGGGCUCUUUGAGAUCAAGUUUACAAGAAGACUGCUGAAUUAUUCCUCCUAGCUCAGCCCCAGGGCCCCACAUUUUAGCUGAAGGUGAGGCCAUAACUCGUUAGAAAACCAGAAAAAGAAAUCUGAAGCCAAAACAAGUAUUAUAUUAGACACUGACCUGCCAAAGUGAGAUAUAUUGUGUAACUCUGAGAAUUGUGGGCAACCAUGUGGAGUCGGCCAGUGAUUUCUUGUCCUGCCAUCACAUAAAUUGGCUGAGAGAGAACGCAGCGUAAUUGGUACCAAUGGGUUGUUGGUGCACCAGGCGCGGUGGUAAGCCACCUUUGUACGGUACUGUAAAUAAGCAAUGUGAAAGCAGUUAUGAGACCCACAAAUUUGCAUCAUAAAUGAAAUGCAGAAGAUUAUAUUGAUUACACAAAUCAUUGAUUCAGAUGAUUACCUCCCAUCAAACAAGACAUCGAACCAGCAUGCUAACCCAUGCACUCUAGUGCCUACAGCAGCUGUAAACCGUAAAGGUAUGUCGAUUUCAUACAAGUCCUCUUCGCUUGUUUUGGUAAAGUCAAUCACAUGAGACAUGGAAGGAGCCACCAGUAAUCUUGGAUCAAAGGCAUCUACCACAGGCUGUACGAGAAUAAAACAGAAUAAUUCAGCACAUCAUCAAGUCCUAGCAACCAAAACAACCACCAAUAAAAUGUCUUGCACAGAUAAACUUUUGGAUCCUGGAAUUUUUAAAUAAUCACUCACCAAGGAAAUUCAGCCAUUUCGGUCUGAGGGAUUUGCAAAAAGCCCUUGGAAAGUUAUUGAUGUUGCAUAUGUCCACUUAUUUUUGUUGUUUCAUUUAAGAGAUGCAUAAACCCCCCUUAGCUCAAAGGCCUAGGCAAGUCAAUAAAAGUUGCUGGGUUCUUACAAAACCAUACCAAUCAACUAAGGGAAUUAGAUUCUUAAAUAGUGAUGGCAGAGGGUACGUAGCUAUCCCUUAUUUCACUAGACCAUGAAAAGUGAAGAGCGCGCCAAGAGUUUACCAAGAACAGGAUGAAUGGGAGAUGCACAGAGUGACAAAUCAAGUUUGAUUAGGUUUAUCGUCAAGCGUAAUUUCAUGGAAUAGGAAAUAGGAAGAAUCCAGGAAAUCCUAAAACUAAAAUUCCAUUUAACAAGUUAAAAAAAAAAGAUAGUUUAAUUAUUCAAGUUCUUAUUUAACCUACACAUGUAAACUAUGGUUGCAAAACACAGCAAUAACGUACAAGUUUUGCAAUACUUUUAAGUUAUGUGUAAGAAAUAUAUAGACCUGUGAAAAAUAUCCCUUGAAUGCAGAUCCAUACAACGGUUGCAAAUCAACUCCAUAAUAAUUUUGUUGCUGCCAGAAGAGGGCCUGUAUAUUUACAAACAAGAACAUUAAUCUACAUCAAAUAAGAGAGGAAAUUGAUUGCACUACACGUUUAUAACAGCAAUCUAAUAGAACUUUUAGAUCAGCUGCAUUGUGCAUGGCUUGUAGGUUACAAGUUUCUGAAUGGUUAUCCAUGCAUAAUGUCCUUCCUUAUAUAAAUUAACGAAAAAUGAUGACGACAUACGCACCUUAUUUGCUAUUUCAACAAACAAAUAUUCAUCACUGAAAGGUGCCAUGUGAAUCCUGCGGAAGUAAUCAACUUGAAUUGAUGAGAAAAAUAAAAGUAACAGAUAUAACGAUUUUGAAUAGGUACUAAUAGUAAUCAAUAUACACUAGGACCACAAGCAAAUGAAAUGAAAGAUCUAACAUAGCAAUAUAGCAUCACCGAACAACCCAAGAGAAAAAUAACGUGGCCAGGCAACAUGUAGGUAAUAUGAUAUCGAAUAUUUUAUCAUGACUAGUAACUAACAUUACCUAACUAAUCCUGAUCUGAACUAAAAUAAUUUUACUGCUGGGAACCCACUUCUUGUCUAAAAAAAAGGUAAAUAUCCCACAGCUGACAUCUUUUUUUUUUUUUGUUAACCUAGAGUUGAUAUUUUCAAAGAGUGUCCCAUGAUACAAGUAAAAUAACGUAAACAAGAGAUACCAGAAAACAAAACAUAGAAGAAAUUCAAAGGUUAAAUUACCUUCCCAAUGUGGGGAACAUUUUCCCAUUUGGUUGAAGAAACCGAUCUCUUGCAAUCACAUAGGUUUCCAGCAUUCUUUCAUUAAUUAACAAAGUGCCUAAAGCCAUGACAAAGAAAAGUUUACAUUAGGACUAGUUUCAGACUAUCAGCGGAGCAGAUACAUCAAGAAAAGCAGGGCAACAUCCAUUUGAAUGUCUAUAGCAAAUACAUAUAGAGGCUUACCCAUUGGCUCUGAGAUCAGGAUAUCUGCUUUCUCUGGCAAUUCAACCUCCUCAAUUUUACCUUUGAUUACCUACAUGUAGAUGACAUAUGUUCCCAUUAGAGAACAGGAAUGAAGAAAAAAAGGACAAAAGAUUCAGAAAUGACAUCAUUAGUCUCACAGUUAUCCUUUCACCCAGUGAAGGGUUCCCUGCAAUUAGCUUGCGUGCAUAUUCUGCCAUUUCAGAUGCUUCCACAGCAUAAACAUGUUUAGCACCAGCCUAUAUUGGGAAGAAAAGAAAUAGAAGAUCGAGAAGAGGUAUGCCAAAACAAAAUAUGCAAGAUUACUAUACACAAACUUAAUUGAUCAAAGAGCUGAGUGUACCUGAGCAGCAAAUAAUGACAAAAUACCACUGCCAGCACCAACAUCAACAACCACACGACCAUUAAAAUCCACACGAUUUUCUAUGACUGCAGCAUAAUAGGUUCCUGAAGUAGAUAACCAGGGCACUUACUAACAUAUUCAACAUCAACUCAUAGGAUAUUUUUAGUGAAACUAAUAAAAUUUAGUGUAAAUACUAAAUUUACAAUAUGGAUUCUGAAGCUCAAGAAUACAUCUCAACUCCAAAACAAAAGAAACGUGAAGUUGAAAAUGAACAAGAAUAUAGUUAGUGAACUAACCUGUCCUAACAUAAUCCUGUAACAUGUUCUGUUGAUGUAGCAAUUGUCCGUAGUAAUGGAAAUACAUUUUAGCAGAAGACGGCUCUAUUUUGUCGUCAAACUUGCUUUUGGUAGAUGAUAGUUCUCCAUUUGGUAACUUUUGUCCUGCAAGAGUGCACAAAAACGGAUUAAUUGACAAGAAAUGAACGCCGCGCGACAAGAAGCAAGACAGUCAAAGUAUAGGAGUAUUUGCAUGGAAGAACUCAUAAGACACAAUCAUGUCACAACAGAAUAGCUAUGUUCUAGAUGUGCAAUGAUAUUCAUCUAGUACUGCUUCGGUCAAUUCAUCCACAAACAGAAGAAAUACGUCAAAAUAGUCAUAAGUAAACUUUCGGAACAGAACCUUGAUCAACAAGGUCCUUCUUCCAUUGCUCAAAUGCAUGAUGGAAGGCUGCACUCUCCUCCUCGUUAUUAAAACGAAUAGUGACUCCCCUUGAAUACGAUUUCUGGUUCAAAAGAAGUAAUGUUACAAGAAACAAACAUCCGACAGAUAUUGAAUGAAUCGUAUAAAAAUGUUGCGCACAAAGGUACAAACAACGAACAAUGUUGCAUGAAAAAGUACAAUCAACGUGAAAAUCCACUGUGAUACAUAUUUGGCACUGCAAAAGUUUGCAAAGUAAAAUCAUCAAAAUGCAAACGCGUAAAGAUAAACUAUUUCGGUUACCUCUUUGUCGGUAUCAGAACCUUCCGUUAUGCAAACCGACUGCACCGGACCUAACUUGAAUAGCUGCGGACGGAAGAAACACAUACCAAAAUCAAACAACAAACUUACAACAUUGUAUCAAAUAUUAUACUACCGACAAAAAUCAGCAUAUUCAUAUAUCUAUGUAUAAUUAAAUUUUUUAAGCAGUAAAGCCAGAGUAAACUGUUCUCAACUAGAUAUUUUAUUUUCCUUCACUUUCUCGGCAACCAAACAAAGCUGAAUACUUCUUAACUUAAAAAGACUAAACUGAAACAGCAUACUCCAAAUAAAAGGCAAACCUUAGCAGUUCGGAGAUCGACAUUGAGGCGGGCAUCGGACUCAGCCUCCUGCUGAAACCGGAGCUCUGCAACUCCGUCUUCGGCGCUGAACCGAGCCACCGCCGGUGCCAGAGUAAAAGAAGACGACGACGAAGCGAGCUCGGAGGCGGAUGCCAAUGCAAACUCCUGCCGCUUCUUCGCUGCUUCUGCCGCAGAGCCCUCCAUUAUCGCCUUCUCCAACCUCAAUCGGGAUAUUUACUAAAUUAAAAAAUCAAAAGAAUAAAGGAAAAAAAAAAGGAAAAAGAAAAAGCAGCGACUGAUUAUUCGAAGUCAGUGGAGGAGUGAGAAAAUUAGGGUUUGGUUAGAGAGAGAAAGUGAAGGAGGGAAAGGGUUGGAGAAUUUGGAGAGCCGCCAGAGAACGAAACAAACAAGAGAGUUGGGAUUUUAUAGUGAGAGAGCGAGCUUUGAGGAGAGUUGAGUUCACACAUUCCUCAGAGAAAGGUUCCAACGUGGACAUGUGCUGACGUGUCCAUUGUGUUGGCGGUGAGUUGAGAAUCCGGAUUCUGGUCAGAUUUUUUUUAUGAAGAUUUCGGAAGUUUGUAAAUUGUAUUCAUUUAUCAUAAAUUGUGUGAUUAUAAAUUAUAUUUUAUUUAAAAUUAAAUACAAAUACUAUCUUAUAAAACUAGUAGUACGAUGUAAAUGAACAUAAUUUACGAAUCUCGAAAAAAAAAUUCGGAGAGGAGAGAAUUCUGUUACUGCGAUUGCUGGAUUCGGUUGUGGGACCCAGGGGGAAGCGGAAGGGGUUUCCUUGCUUGUUCGGGGAGUUGAAAUUUUAAAGGUAGUGGGGUUUUGGGUGUGUUAACGGUUUGUUUGGCCCAAAUUUAACAGCUCGCAUGCUUUUGCUUUUGAGAUCUUCUUUUGCUACUGGGAUGUUCAUGGGCUGGACUGGACCCACCACUACUAACUUGUAAAAUACACUGUGUUGGGCUGGGUCAGGAAUUUUAGCCCAAAAACUUAGGUAAAUUUUAAAUAAGAAUUGUCGUUAGAUUCUUAAUAAAAAAAAACCCACGAUUUUAAAUCAAUGAAAUAGCUACAUUGGUGUAGGGGUGGGCAAACGGGUCCUGGACCCGCGGGUCGGGACGGGUUCAAGCGGAUCGGGGCGGGUACGGGACGGGUCUAAAUAUUUUGGAGAAGAAAUGGGGCGGGGCGGGGCAGGGUGGAGGAAAUGACGGGGCAGGACGGGUCUAAAAAUCAGGAAAAACGGGGGCUCGGCCCGAACCGUUUCUACCGUUGGAUUAUUGGAUUGGAUUUAAUCACACCUCCACUUCACCGUUUGAUUGGAUCUUUUCUGAGUCAGACUUCUCUCUUGUCUCUCCCAUUCAUUCACGAAAGCCAUCACAAUUCACCGACUCGACACGAAAGCCUUGAGAUUGUCAAACAAAAUUCAUCACCAUCUCAUCUUCUUCCAAUUCACUGUCUUCGAUUCCCCCUGUCCGUCUUCCAACUCUUCAAAAAAAAUCAAAAUUCAUCACCAUCUCAUCUUCUUCCAAAUUGAAAUCGAGAUUGUCGAACUCUACAGUCCCAAGCAAAGAGGAUGAAGAUCCUCAACAUCAGCGCCUCGAGAUUGUCAAACACCACCAUCGUCAGCGCCAAGCGAAUCGAAAUCGACCACCAUGCCCUUUGUUCUUAGUCUUCCAGUGUCUCCUCUCAGAUCUUAAUUUUCUGCAAGAUUUGGCAUUUGGCCCAUCUGGGUUUUCAUUAAUCUGCAGGUAUGGUGGGAAAUCUGAGAUGGUUUUUUUUUUUUUAAUUUGUUGUGGAGUUUAGACUUUAGAGCAUCUGGGUUUUCAUUGAAAAUGCCCUUUGUUUUUUUUUGUUUUUGUUUUUUGUUUUUUUGUUGUGGGUUCUAAGAGAAUUUGGGUUUUCAUUGAACAUACCCUUUGUAUUUUAUGAAUUCGUUUGUUCUGAGAGCAGUUCGGCUUGAGCCAUCUUGAUUUUUUAAUUAGUGGAUAAAACCAUUGGGUUUCUUGGCAUGGAUUAUCGUAGUGGAUGCUUCAUUGUUGUGGAUAUACUGUUCGUCUUCAGUACUUUUAGCUUUGAAUUGUUUGAUGGCAGCUAGAAAUGCAUCGUCUCCUCUGAUUUUAAAGCCAUUGCUAAUCCGCCACCGACGAGCAUGCAACGUUUGAAGGUUACCCUUAGGACCCGUGGGGACCCGUAGGAAUCGGCCCGUUUUAAAAGGGCCGGGUUAGGUCCGGAUCCUAUUUUGAAAAAUCCAAAACCCGUCCCGCCCCGCCCCGUUUUAUUUACAAACGGGUUCGGUCCGGUUCCUUCAAUUUUGGGCCCAACCCGGCCCGUGCCCACCCCUACGUUGGUGUUUGUUGAGAGCAUUGGAUAUUGUCAUUUAAUUUUGAGUGAAAUGCUCAUAUUAUAACAUGGUAUCAAAAUAAAUUAUUAUUAUAUGAGACUCAACGUGUGUCACAAAAGAAAAAUUAAAGUUGAAUGUAUGAUGAGAGUAUCCCAGAAAAAGCAUGUUGAGCAUUCUCUAGUAACUAGAAAAAAAGAUUGUUUCAACGAUGACAUGUGGACCAUUUCCAAUGUAGAUGUUAAAUUUAGUUUUUACAGCUAAUGGGACAAAAUAACAUUUUAUAAAGUCUCAUAUUCUAACUGAGAAGUUAAAUUAUAAUGUUUUUUGGUUAUUUAUAAAUUUAAGUGGGUCAGAAUUUAAUAAUAAAAUAAUCAAUAAGUGAAAGAAAAAUGAUAAAAACUAUGUGGGCCAACAUUAAAAUAAAACAAAAGAACAUUUUUACAUUGCCUUCAAAUUUGGCUGCAAAGUGGAAAAUAUCAAUUCAUUUAGGAUUUUGACAUCUCCUCUUAAACUAGAAAACCACAUUUUUUGUCAAAAUAAUCCCGUAAGAUUUUUUACAUAUCCUUUGGAAAUACUCUUAUGCAAUUAAAAUGUGUUAAUCACAA
rnacentral:lncRNA from 1 species